rnacentral:lncRNA from 1 species
UUUUUUUUUUGUUUCUUGUUAUGCAUAUUUUUUUUAAACUGCUCAUGCAUUGUUAGCACACGUAGCACCACACUUUGUUUAUAUAUUGCACUACAACAUAUGCGACACAGAACUGCAUUUUUGUCCAAACACACCCAUUUUUGUGUAAAAGAGUAAUAAAACAAAAUGACCUCACAUGCAUUUAAAAGAGUGACCGUCUAUAGGUUUAGAAGAACUUGUACUUUUGCUUUCGUGUGACCUCAUAUGCGACGUGUGUUUUUUACUUUGUGAUGCCUUUCCACUUUUCGCCAGAUAAGGAGGAUGACUCAACUGUUGAAGAGCAUUUAUGGUGAUAAGUUGUAGAACUCCAGGAAUUACCCUGACUGGAUUAAAUUGGCAGAGAAGCCCUCUUACCCGACUGUGCCAGUGCAAGGAACAAACGAGUGUGGAAUCUAUGUUCACAGGUUGACACAGGUGUAUGACGGUGUGCGUCUGAUGAGGACAUCAAUACCAUUGUUACACCCAUAGCCCCUGCUGCUAUACAUACUGGACCAAUUACUAGAGCUCGCGCACGCCAACUAAAUUACCAGGUACUUUCGUUUCUUGGUAAUGAUUCUAAUGUUCAUGAGAAUAUGAUGCUGCCUAAAUUGGAUACAUUUGUUUUGCUUACAAAUGAAGGGCCUAGCUUGGAGAAGGAUGAACAUUGGAGCAAGAACAAGCCUAGAGAUGAUGGCAUGCGCAAGGGGAACAAGAACAGAGUUACAAGUGAUGAUUUCAGGUCUUUGAAGCCACCAUAACGACUGCAUGAAGCCUUGGACGAAAUAUACAAGAUGUCACUUCAUAAAUUUCGUCCAGAGGCUAUUAUAGGUGCUGCGUCACCUUUUUAUUGGGCCAGGCCCAUGUAAUUUGAAAUACAUAAGUAUAGGCUAUUUUUAGAGUCCGUGUGUGUGGGGAAACAAGAGAUAGGGUUGAUUUCGGACCCCUCCACCAAGGGCCACGAAAUUCCCCCUCUCUUCCUCCAUAUAUACAGCCCUUAGGGCACCGUUUAGACUUUGGGUUUUGUUUAGAUUAAAGUUUGCCAUAGCUGCAACUUCGCGUACUUCGUUUGUGUUCAACGACCAGACAAAGGCGUCACAGAACCCCACCUUGAUCAAAAAAAAGCUUUCAUCUUAUAUUCGCAAUAUCCAGAUUGGAAUCUCAGAUCCUUGCUUGUUCUUCGUUUGCUCGCAGGAAUCAGACCCUCGUGGUCAGGUUGAUCGUGCUUCGGCGUGGUCAAUAACCUCUCGGAGUUGGUUUAGCGAUUGCUAAGGCGCGACGUCCUCGCACGUUCGUAGUUGGAUCGUCAAAGUCGACUUCCACCAAAGCGAAAUCCAUCAUCUCAUCGAAAGACGGGACACCUCCGCCUCUAUCAAGUGGUAUCAGAUUUCCAGGUUGCUCGGUGAGAUUUUACAGUUUUUCGUAGUUUAGAUCGAGUCUUUUCUUCAUACCGAUAGUCCACGAAAAAGCCACAAAAAAAAUUAGGGUUAGUUCAUCAUAUCCGAACCAGUCUGAGCCAUUGCAUAAUCUUUUUAGGGUUUUGCUUUGUUGGAUUUGCGGUUGCAUCGUCGUGUCUAGUUGCUGGUCUUAGAGUCUAGUCUUUUAGAGUUUCGAGUUCUGGUCAUAAGUUGUCACACCGCCGCCGCACCAUCAUCAUCGCCCCUGCCUUCUACCACCACCGUUUAUCCGCCACCGCUUCAAAUCCGUAUCCAUAUACCACCACCGCUGCCAUCUACCACCAUAUAUCCACCACCAAUCCGAGUUCUUGUCAUAUUAGGUUUGUUUUCGAGAUCCAUCUAGAUUCCGAUUCGUGUUUCCUUGCCGGAGUAGGUUUCGGAAAAAAAGCACCCUCCGUUUAGGCCCAAAAUUUUUUGAAAACGCAUUUUUCGAAAAAAUUUCUAGCUAUCCUAUUUUUAGGUGUUUCUGAGCGUAUUGAGACAGGUGCCAUUAUAGGAAGUUUUUUUGAGCCGUUUCCAGUUUUUGGGUCCGGGCAGUCGGAAAAAAAAAUUGGUCAACAAAAAUUUCGUGCCCAUCCUGUCAGUUUGACCUGGGAAGAGUUUUGAGACAAUCGCCAUUAUAGUGAUUUUUCGCAAAAAAAAAAGCAACGCAAAAAAAAAGAGCAAAAAAAACCCAGAGUGUGCUUUUCCCUUGUUUACGUGCAGCGCCGUGAUUUUGUUAGUGUUCUAGGCUCGCGUCUCUAGUACAGUCUAGCCUAGGACCAGCACAGUACCGUCGUUGAGCGUUUAUUCAACUUUGCAUCUCUGAAUUGAUUAUUGCUGAUCCUUUUUUUUGCUACCAUAUUAUAAGCCUUCCCAGCUCCACAUACAUCUACGUCAUGCGUUUAACUCUCCCUGGUAAUCGCUCUAUCCAAGCUUUGAGAGUUUUGACUACAACGGUUGCCGAUCACCACCUGCUGCUGGGUAAGAACUGGUAAGAAUUUGAGAUUUGCUUGACGGGUUUGUGAUACACCACCACCACUUCUUAGUAGUCUGUAGGAUCAUAUUCUUGUGUGUUUCUAUUUGCUGCUAACCAUGGUAGGAUCACAAGCCGAUGAGACUGAUUGGGAGAACCUGAUGAACAAACAGCUACAUGAUAAAUUUCAGCAAAUGAUGAGUGGACAGGUGCAAGAUGUGCUAAACAGAUUUGACGAGGCCAUGGAGAAGGUAGAUGGCAUUGAGAAGACGUUCGAAACGAAGCUUGAUAGCAAGUUUAAUGAAUUGCUCGCGUGUUUUCCACCACCACCGCCGGCUGCACCUAUCGCACCUCUGCAACAACAACAACGCCUGUUUCCAAAUCAGUAUGGACGAGCGAAGCGUGUUCCUAUUGUGGAUGGCCAAACUUCUGGUGUUGCUGUUCCUAUUGUUGAUGCUUCCUUGGCUCCUUCUACUGUUGCUGCUGGUACCCAGGAGGAUGAUGAGUAUGCGGGCGAUUAUGAGGAUGAGGUUGAUCAAAAUCAGCACUACGUGCAGCCACCUGCACCACCACCAGCAGGUCGACCUCAGGUAUAUAUUCGUAAUGAUAGGCCUGCACCACCACCUCAGGUACGAGAUGAUGUCCAUAUUCCUAAACUGAAAUUGAAUAUUCCACCAUUUGAGGGUAGAUAUGUUCCUGACUUGGGUCAUGAUAGUGUGUAUGAAUAGAUUCAGACUUGGCAGCGGCGUAUGUGGAUGAAACUGUGUGUGUUUUAUUUUAUAUAAAUUCCUAAUAUAAACACUAUUUCAAGUCCACCAUAUAUAUAAACACUAUUCUGAUCACGGGGUCGGAAUAAUAUUCUUAUCACAACAUGAACUUUCCGAGUAACGCGCCUGACCUUCCCCGAGUGCUAGGUUGAACUUCAGCUAAAAAGUGUCCAAAUUGGGCUUGCGAUAUACGGUUGGAAAGCUAUGGACACGACUAUCAUGACCCAAGUUGAAUUUUUGGCAAAAUGUAAGCGGUUUAAGAGCAGUUUUGAAAACCGUUUUUUCCUUCAUACAAAAAACGUGAAUCGUAUUUUCAAUCGCAUUUCUAAAUAGUUUUAUUGGAAUGAGACAAAUAAUAUGGUGUUGGAAAGAUGAUGCAAAACCGCUCCUUCUACAUGUUAAUAGUUUUCUAUAAUUCCUUAUGGUUAAAGAGUAAUUUGAAAAACCGCAAAAUUUCACAAACCAAACAGCCGAGUUCGUAUUUUCGAUGUCAUUUCUAAACGGCUAAUCCGAUUGAGCCAAAUGAUAUGGCGUUGGAAAUCUUGUGAAAAUGCGCUACUUUUUCAUGUUGAAUGUUUUUUCUAAUUUUGAGAGGUGUAAAAGAAAUUUAGAAAAUAAUACAAGUUCUAACGAAUUUGUAUUUUCGAGCUAAUUUUUUGACCGUAUGUUCGAGUACAGCAAAUGAUAUAGCGUUGGAAAGCUUGAGGAAAUGCGAAAAACUUUUGUAUCUAUUAUUUCUCCCGAUUCCUUAUGGUUUUAAGUCAUUUUUUAGAAUGUCCAAAAACAUAUUUUUGCCGUAAUUUCUACAAACUUUAUCGGAUUGGGGCAAUUAAUAUACUCUUGAAAAGCUACGGAAAAUGCGUAACUUUUUGAUGUUGAUGGUUUUCUCAUAUUCCUAGCCGUUUUUAAGUAAUUUCAAAAACGGACAGAUCAUUUGUUCUGCCUCUAUCGCGGAACAGAUUCUUCGAAAAUGCACCACAUGAAGAACUUGAACUUCUCGGCAUGCCUACUUGAACUUCACUCUGUUUUCACGUGCUUUUUUUGCCCGAAGCUCUCCAUCCACUCAUCAGAACACUCACCGGAAUUGAGCAAGUAAUAUACCAGUGGAAAGCUGUUGUGAACACGCAACUUUCUCGUGUUGAACGUUUUUUCAUACCCGCGACGAUUUUAAUAGUUUUUCAUAUGAAAUUCAUCCAUUGUAGUAGUUGAACUUCCUGUUGUUUUCAGUUGAACUUCUAUGACGUAUUUUGUUUGUAAUUUUCUCAUCCAUUCGUCAGUGUUACACAAAUGAUAUUCCUUUUGUACAAAUCUCUCUCACAAUAAUUUUUUAACUUUCUCCGACGAAGGACUUGAACUUACAACAACAAAACUUUCAGACUUUGCUUUUUUAUUCUUUUUUUAAUACAAAAUCACACCGUGUAGUACACGAACUUCUGGCACUUAUCAACCUGAUCUUCUCUCGGUUACGUGAAAAUAUUUAAGUUUUUUUUAUGAAUUUUUAAUUUGAUUUUCUUAAUCUUUUUUUAUGAAUUUUGAAGCGCUCUAUUUUUAGUAGUUGAACUUCGAGUUAUUUUAUUUUUGAACUUCUUGUUUCCAUUCUUUAAUAACGAGGAAAAUCUGAGUUUUCGAUAAUCAUCAACUUCUCCAUGUUUUUAAUAUGGACUUCCUGGUUUUAUUUCUUAAUCCUUUUUUAUGAAAUUUUGAAGCAUUAUAUUUUUAAAAGUUGAACUUCUUGUUUUUUAUUUUUGAACUUCUUGUUUCCAUUCUUUAAUAACGAGGAAAAUCUGAGUUUUCUAUAAUCAUCGAACUUCUUCAUCUUUUUAAUAUGGACUUCCUAGUUUUAUUUUCUUAAUCUUUUUUAUGAAAUUUUGAAGCACUCUAUUUUUAUUAGUUGAACUUCUUGUUAUUUUAUUUUUGAACUUCUUGUUUCCAUUCUUUAAUAACGAGGAAAAUCUGAGUUUUCUAUAAUUAUUGAACUUCUCCGUCUUUUUAAUAUGGACUUCCUGGUUUAUUUUCUUAAUCCUUUUAUAAAAUUUUGAAGCGCUCUAUUUUUAAAAGUUGAAAUUCUUUUUAUUUUAUUUUUAAACUUCUUGUUACCAUUCUUUAAUAACAAGGAAAAUCUGAGUUUUGUAUAAUCAUCGAACUUCUCCAUCAUUUUCAGAAACAUGGAAAAACCCAUUUUUAUGAACCUUUUUUAAAUUUGAACUUCAUGCUCUUAUUUUUUUAGAAACAUGAAAGAAUGAUUUUUAUAAACUAGUUUUACUAUAUGUGAAUGUGUGCUUUUUAUAUUCAAACACCUCACAUGAUUUCCACGUAAAUGGUAUUUUUUAGUGUGAUUGACAUCUUGAUAUUUUUUUCAUGAACUCCCCGGAAAUUGAAACAUUUAUGCUUCACUACACAUUUUUAUCGUUCUUUAAUUGCAAUAGUUUUUACUAUGUGUGAAUGUGUGCUUACAUUUGAACUUCCCACAUGAUUUUCAUGUGAACUUUAAAAAGAAAUUGAUUGGGAUUUUUUUGUUCUCAUUUUAGCUAACAUUAAAGGCAACAAAAUUACACAGCUCACACUUUUGUGCUUGUUUGUACAUCUUGCAUGCAUUCGAGAACAAAACUGGGUUGCAAACAUAUGCCAUUUAUUUGUCCAAAUUUUCUAUAGAAAACAACAAUCAUCUGGCCAAUGCACCACCUGUCGCAUUCAUAUAAUGAAGAUGUUUUUCUAUCAUUUGAAUUGCUCAAAUAUACGCACAAGAACUUCUGUCAAGAACAUGUUGACAGGUACAUAUACAAACAACACCCACGUGCCCCAAAUGCUACACAUCCUUAGUAGCUCAAUAAGCAUCAUUUUCUUUCUAAAGUUUUUUUCUUCUAUUUCCUGUAACUUGAUUCACGUAACUCCGGAGAUAAAAAGAAGAAAUAAUAGCAAUGGCAGCUAAUCUUCUCCCCUUGCUCACCUCACCAUUCAGCAGCAACAAACGACAACACUUUAUAAUCAUAGAAACAUGCAGAGAUCACAUGCAGUGUAUACAGAAGAGAAACAAAAUAUGGGCGAACAAUCGGCUAUUCUUUGGCACAGCAAUGAUUGGGGCACUUCAGGAGUGGUGCUAGCUGGAGUAGAUGUGAACAUCAGUCUGAAGAAGUGGCCGGCCGGUCUGAGUAGAAGGCCCUCCUCUCCUUCUGUACCUACGUACUUAGACCAAGUUACAUAGUUCUACGACUAUAUAUACAGAACUGAAGAAAUGGAAUACGCCCCUGAGUGAACACUGACGGCACUAGACAUGAGUACAUCGCCUGGCAAAAACCACCUGGGGAGAGGGCCUUAUUUGUAUGCUUCUAAAAGUAUUUCAUCUCUGAUUAAAUGGACCGUCGGCUGUCAUGCAUUUUGGAGAUAAACUUCUAAGAAAACUCAAGUUUUCCAUUACUGAAGCUCCUGUUAAACUGAAAUCAACGGACCAAAACACCAAUUUCUUUGCAGCUGCAGAUAAGGUUGACCUUCAGAUAUCAAAUCACUUAAAAACAAUACAUAUUGGCCAGGAGGAAGGAACCAACGCUUGGCUGAAGACGCACAUGUGCCAAUGGCUAGAGCAUGAGGAAUAGUAGAAAAGCGAGAUGAGGGAGGAUGCGAACAUGUACCAGUGGCUCGACGGAACGUUUGCUGAAGACACACCAAAUGAUCUUCAGAUUUCUGCACUUCUACUGGCAGAAGCUUUGACACAAAGGAGCACGGACAAAGGAACUCGGACGGACAUGGGUGGGGCACUCGGACUGCCGAAGAAGCGGCCGGAGCAGCAUCAUACGGCGGUGGCUGGGACAUCCUAGAUCGAAGCUGCAUGCACUGGAUCAGGGCCGUACGUGCACAUCGCUCACUGGAGGUACAGGGGCUUGAAGGCGGAGGAUCCGGUGGCACGACGGUGGGAUCCUAGCGCCGCCGUAGCGAGGCAUGGUGGAGGCGCAAUGGCUUGACGGUGAUGGUAGCCGGAUGGCAAUGCUCAGGGGUGCACGGAUCCGUGCACGAAGGAGCUCGCCGGAGCAGCAACACCUCCCACGCGUGAACAUCCGCGGAUCCAGCGGCUAGCGCUCAGAUCCGAGGCCACCAUUGGUGUAUCGAUGCAGUACAUGGGCAGGGGCGACGUGUGGGGUCUGACAGCGAUUUCAGGCGGAUGUGGAUGAUGUAGCGUGCGAGGGUGGGGAUGCGGGCGUCACGGCGGCCGCGUCGGCUGUUGGAGGCGAUGGCGUGGGAAGAAGCCGUGGGCAGGGAGUAGGCUGGAGAUGGGCCACAACGGCGUCCUGACGGCUGUGCUGUCGGUGGUGGCGGAUGGCCGCGGCCGGAGAAGCUGUCGGGUGGCCGCGGCGGCCGGGGAAGCUGGCGGAUGGCCGCGGUGGCCGAAGAAGCUUGCCGGUGGUAGCUCGGUGGCUCCGUUGGAGCGGGAGAUUGGCGCCAGAAUUGGGGAUCGAGGCGGGUCGACAAUGGGCGGUCAUGGGUGUGAUUUCUUCUUUUUUUUCUGUGGGUUCAAGAGUUCGGGAACGACCGGAUCGCUCCUAUAUACGGCGCCGCAUGAUCAGAAUAACUAUUCUAUCUCAAAAUAGUGUUACUCUCUAUAUAUAUAUAUAGGAUAAAUUUUUCCUACUACCGGAUGUAGUUACACCCAUUUUUAUUUUGUAUGUUUUAGGUAGUAUCUACCAUACCGCAGUGUAUGUAUGCGUAGUAUGUAGUAUGUAAGAAUAUUUAGGUAGUAUGUAGUAUAUUUUUAGCAUACUUCUUUUUACAUACAAAUAUGUACGUAUUUUCACAAAUAUGAUAAAAACAUGGGCUCACAUGCAAUUUUUUCACAUAACUCGCUUUGGAGUAUCUUAGAUAUAGUAUAUGAACAUACUAAAAAUGAUAAAAUAGUAUAUAUACUACCACAUAGUAGUAUAUGAGAAAUGGAUGUAACUACACCCGGUAGUAGGAUGCAUUUUCCAUAUAUAUAUAUAUAUAGACGGUCUAUUCUGCUAAUAUUAGCAGAAUAACUAUUCUGCACACCACUUCCGCACUGCACGCUGAACGCAAGUGCACGUCAUUCUUCAAAACAAGUGUGCUGCAGUACUGGCACGAGUGAACUUCUCGUCGGAAAAAACUGCAAGCGUUAUUCUUUUAGUACUGUUUUCGCUCUAAUUUUUUAACCGUUUAUCGGAAUGAGGCGUGUAAUAUACCGUUGAAAAGCUAUGGAUGAUGCGCAACUUCGACAUGUUGCACACUUUUCGAGAUUCCACACAUUUUAAGAGCAGUUUUGAAAAUGGUGCGGCCCAUGACGAGUGGCAGCGAGCAUUUUUUUUGUGAUUUCUUAUAAACCGCUCAUCCGAAUGAAUCAAACGAUACGCCGUUGGAUAGAUAUCAUCGAGACACAUCUUUUUCAUAUAUAAAUGUUUCUUUAAUUCCUUACAGUUUAAGAGCAGUUUCAAAUUUACUAAAUUGCGGAAUUCUGUUUUUCAAAAAAAUUCAAAUUUUCGGUACUGUUUUCACUCCAAUUUUUGAACUGUUUGUCAAAACGAGGCGUGUGAUACGCCGUUGGAAAGAUAAGAACGAGGCGCAACUUUCAUAUGUUGAAAUAUUUUUGAAAUUCCUUACGGUUUUAAGAUAAUUUUGAAAAUUGUGCGGCGAACGACGAGUGGCAGCGGCCGUUUUUGGCAAAAAAUUUGCAAAACGCUGGUCGGAAUGAUUCAUACGAUACACCGUUGGAAAGAUAUCGAUGAUACGCAAUUUUUUCAUGUAGAACACUCUCUCUAAUUCUUUACGAUUUAAGAGGAAUUUCAAAUUUACCGAAAUGCGGACACUCUGUUUUUCGCGACACCCAAAUCGAUGUGGGUACUUCAUCCAACUGAAAACCGCACUGCAACAGACGAAAAACCGCACUGCAUCACAUGGGUAAGAGAACAGCUUGGUUUUUUUAUUCAAACGUAAUUUUUUCAAGAACGAUAAAGUAUAGUGCACUUCACAUCGGGUGUAAAUGAGCCACAACACUAUCAAGAAGUGAACCGCAUUACUUUUUUUUUGCUUUCGUAACAAUUUUUUUGCUCUUACGGGAUGAACAACAUCAUAUGGCCAACCGCACUGCUUCAGAAUGAAAACCGCACUUCAUCAGAUGGGCAAGCGAGCUGCAUAAUUUGUUUUGUCGGACGUUUUUUUCUCAUACACAAGUGAACAACAUCACUUUCAAAAGUGAACGACAUUCGAAGACCGAACGCACUGCAAGUGUUGAUGUAAUCGACUGAAUUCUAUGACACACGAAAACAUCUUUGCAACACUCUAUUUUUCGUGACACCAAAAUCGGCGAAGAAACUACAUCAAACAGGAAACCGCAAUGCUUCAGACUGAAAACCGCACUGCAUCAUACAGUCAGGUGAUCUUCAUGGGUUCUUUCGUUAUUUUUCUAACUUUUAUAUGAAACAUGAAACACCUUUGUGGGAUGAGUGCAGUGCACAUCAAAGGUAAAGUGAACCACAACACAAAUCAAAGUGAGAUGCACGACUUUUUUGUCAUUUUCAAACUACUUUUUUAUAAAUACUUUCGCACUGAAUUACCAGGCUAGGGUAAUGCAUUUUUUAAACGCAUUUUAUGAAGUUUGCAUGGUUGAGAGUAGUUAACUGCACUAUUAUUUUUCAUUUCUUCUUCUCACUUUUUUAUGAAUGCCAAACACACACACAUACAUACAUACAAAAAACCAACACUGUCGCUAGCCAAACUUUGAAAUUGAAAGCCCAUCACUCGUGAACCGCAGCUAUGGGGGAAAGCAAGCUGCUAUUGGGAAAGAAGAUAAGCACACACACCAUCGUAGUCGGUGAAUUUUCUAGGCUGCACGUGCACCCGCAAACGAACUGCACACAAAUAUAUUUUUUGGUCUGCACGAUAACAUGCAGAGAACUGAAUCAAAAUCUACGACACAACAGCCAACUGAAUUGCACUAGGCAGAGAACUACACCGAGUAGUUUAUCUUUUUACAUUUCUUAUUCCUGUUUUAUGUCCUCCCGCUAAAAACGACAAAACUGAAAUUGGUUAAUACGAACUACGGGGUCGAGAGCAAUGGAUUGCACUGGCUUUUUUACUACUACAAACUUUUUAUAGAGGGAAUAACUGUGAAUUUUAAAACUGAUACCGCGAUGAGGUGCCCUGGGCACACGACCAGGGCAACACUUGUUUUAAUCAUCCACAUCGACUUAUCAGAACUGCACAAGCGACACAAACGACAUGCCCAAUGCACCGCGCGCACCACCCCGGCGAACUGCACACAUGGUGGCACAGGAUGCGGCACUCGCGCGCGACAUGAUGCAGGCGAGCCUUCGCCGGCGUAUCUCCUGCAACAGAGAAGAUUUGGAGAGGUGGAUGAAAGGAAAAUGGGGAACAGGGGCGGUGGUCACCUGAGGAUCCCCACCGGCCAGUACUAGGAUUCCACCCACUACUGCACUGUCCCGUGUUACUUACUUCUUGCCCCCGUGGGUUGAGCUGCACGCGGCGCCCGUAGCGGCCGACGCUGAUAGCCGCGCCUGGACACAGACAAGACGAGAACAAGGGAAUGAGCAGGACUCCGGCCGUCACAGAUCCAGUUUCGGUGGCCGAUGGCGGUGGUUCCGGCCAAAUCUCGUGGAUCCGGCAGGGGGUGGUGAUGCCCGGUGCUCCCGUCCAGGAGAGGAAAUAGAGGGGAGGAGGGGGCCGUGGACCGGCGAGUCUGACGACAGAGGAGGUCGCAGGAUCGACGGAUCCGCCCAUGAUGGUUGGUAGAGGAGGCCGCGGGAGCCGCUCCUUCCCGUCUCUGACACGCGGGACCUCAUCGGCCCUGCCAUCCGGCCACCUCGCGUGGGAGGGCAUGGAUCCGUGAGGAGGGAGGGGCCGCGCUGCUCCCGUGCUGUUGAUGGUGGAACGCGGUGGCCGCGACCCGGAGCGGCGCGCGCAAAGGAAGGAAGGGGCUAUGGGGGAUCCGUCAACGGAGGGAGUUGGACGGGCGCUUGACCAGCACCGGCAUGGAAAGGUGGAGGGUAGGUGGGAGGGAGGGGGUCGGUGAUGGAGGGAGGCGUUGAUGGGAGAUGCGGGGGCGCACNNNNNNNNNNNNNNNNNNNNNNNNNNNNNNNNNNNNNNNNNNNNNNNNNNNNNNNNNNNNNNNNNNNNNNNNNNNNNNNNNNNNNNNNNNNNNNNNNNNNNNNNNNNNNNNNNNNNNNNNNNNNNNNNNNNNNNNNNNNNNNNNNNNNNNNNNNNNNNNNNNNNNNNNNNNNNNNNNNNNNNNNNNNNNNNNNNNNNNNNNNNNNNNNNNNNNNNNNNNNNNNNNNNNNNNNNNNNNNNNNNNNNNNNNNNNNNNNNNNNNNNNNNNNNNNNNNNNNNNNNNNNNNNNNNNNNNNNNNNNNNNNNNNNNNNNNNNNNNNNNNNNNNNNNNNNNNNNNNNNNNNNNNNNNNNNNNNNNNNNNNNNNNNNNNNNNNNNNNNNNNNNNNNNNNNNNNNNNNNNNNNNNNNNNNNNNNNNNNNNNNNNNNNNNNNNNNNNNNNNNNNNNNNNNNNNNNNNNNNNNNNNNNNNNNNNNNNNNNNNNNNNNNNNNNNNNNNNNNNNNNNNNNNNNNNNNNNNNNNNNNNNNNNNNNNNNNNNNNNNNNNNNNNNNNNNNNNNNNNNNNNNNNNNNNNNNNNNNNNNNNNNNNNNNNNNNNNNNNNNNNNNNNNNNNNNNNNNNNNNNNNNNNNNNNNNNNNNNNNNNNNNNNNNNNNNNNNNNNNNNNNNNNNNNNNNNNNNNNNNNNNNNNNNNNNNNNNNNNNNNNNNNNNNNNNNNNNNNNNNNNNNNNNNNNNNNNNNNNNNNNNNNNNNNNNNNNNNNNNNNNNNNNNNNNNNNNNNNNNNNNNNNNNNNNNNNNNNNNNNNNNNNNNNNNNNNNNNNNNNNNNNNNNNNNNNNNNNNNNNNNNNNNNNNNNNNNNNNNNNNNNNNNNNNNNNNNNNNNNNNNNNNNNNNNNNNNNNNNNNNNNNNNNNNNNNNNNNNNNNNNNNNNNNNNNUAUAUAUAUAUAUAUAUAUAUAUAUAUAUAUAUAUAUAUAUAUAUAUAUAUAUAUAUAUGCGAACCCUGUUUUCUUUGUUUUGUAUGUGUGGUUUCUGUGCGAACUACAUUGCUUCUAAUACCGAACUGCAUUGCUUUUUUAUUCAUGUAUGUGUUCCCGAAACUGUAUUGCUUAUGAUACCGCACUGCUUCGUCUAAGCAAAUGCACUGCAUUUUGCCAGAGCUGCGUACUGCAUCUGUUUUUGCGUGUAGUUGCUACUGUCCUUGGCAUGGGAGCGAGGGGGGUUGGGGGGCCCACAUUUUUUUGUGACACUUGUUUGAAAGGUAGACUUUGGGGUUGCGUGCAGUGUUUGGAUGGAAAAUAGAGUAACUACACUGCGCCUGUCAACCUAGCCCACUGCGUGCGUUAGGGCGAGGCUGAGCAGGGGGGAGACUGUGACCCCCCCUCCCCACCCCGUGAGAGGUUGAACCUGGAACAAUCCGGAGCAGGCGGCGAUGCGGCGUGCCGCGACGCCGCAUGCGGAGGCGAGUCCGUCACAACCCGUCGCCCCUGUCUAUCUUAGGGGUGUGGCUCUAGGGUUGCAUGCGUUGUUUGGAGGGAAAAUAGAAUAACCGCACUGCGCCUGUCAACCAAGCACACUGUAUGCGUUAGCGCGAGGCCGAGCAGGGGGGAGGGGGUCAUGACCCCCCCUCCCCACCUCCUGCGAGGCCGAGCCUGGAACGAGCCGGAGUAGGAGGCGACGCGGCGUGCCGCGGUGCCGCAUGCGGAGGCGAGUCCGUCACACCCCAUUGCCCCCUGUCUAUCUUAGGGGCGUGGCUCUCGGGUUACGUGUGUUGUUUGGAUGGAAAAUAGAAUAACUGCACUACGCUUGUCAACCUAGCGCACUGCAUGCGUUAGCGCGAGGCCGAGCAGGGGGGAGGGGGUCGUGACCCCUCUCGCCACCCGUACGAGGCCAAGCCUGGAACGAGCCGGAGCAGGCGGCGAUGCGGCAUGCCGAGGCGCCGCGUGCGGUGGCGAGUCCGUCACACCCUAUCGCCCUGUCUAUCUUAGGGGUGUGGCUCUAGGGUUGCAUGCGUUGUUUGGAUGAAAACAGAAUAACUGCACUGUGCCUGUCAACCAAGCGCACUACAUGCGUUAGCGCGAGGCUGAGCAGGGGGGAGGGGGGUCGUGACCCCCCUCCCCACCCCCUGCGAGGCCAAGCCUGGAAUGAGCCGAAGUAGGCGUCGCAUGCGGAGGUGAGUCCGUCACACCCCGUCGCCCCCCUGUCUAACUUAGGGGUGUGGCUCUGGGGUUGCUUGUGUUGUUUGGAUGGAAAACAGACCCCCUCCCCCCUGCUUGGUCGAGCCUGGAACGAGCCAGAGCAAGCAGCGACACAGCAUGCCGUGGCGCCGCAUGCGGAGGCGAGUCCGUCACACCCCGUCGCCCCCUGUCUAUCUUAGGGGUGUGGCUCUGGGGUUGCGUGCGUUGUUUGGAUGGAAAAUAGAAUAACCGCACUGCGCUUGUCAACCAAGCGGCACUGCGUGCGUUAGCACGAGGCCGAGCAGCGUACUGCAGUGCGUUCUUCUGGGAUCAAUUUUUUUAUCUUUCCUUAUUACAAGCAUUUUUUUCGUUUGGCACUACAUGUCUUCGUGGCAGUACAAAUUAUAUCAUUUGCACUGCUUGUACCAACAUUGCGCACUGCAGUACACGUAUUAAGUCUGUGAUUGUGCAUUGCAUGAAAGUGACUGCAGUCCCUCUUGUGCUUCAUUUAUGUAUGUACUACAGUUCUUGUACACACAUUCUGAACUUCCUGAUUCUAUUCUCUUGAACUGCAUUCCCAUUUGUUUAGAUUGUUGUGCGUGCUAUAAGUUUUCAGAAAUAUGAAUAUUAAUGAUUUUUCUUUAAUUACUAUUAUGGACUGCAUGUACACACUUGGCGUUCUGCUUAUAUUUACCAAUGUGCACUGCAUUCAUCUUUCUUUUUAUGUCAUGAGUUGCAGUCAGAGUGCUUAAUUUUUUUGUUGAACGUUGUUUAUGAAUCAGAUAUUGUUAUGUUUUGGUAUCACACAUCAUAUUUUUCAACCUUGUAUGUAUACUUGUUCUAAUACAUAGUCAACAAUCUUUACCUAGUGCAAUGACAUUGUUUUACAAGGAAACAUUCGAUAUGAAGCAACGUACAUAAGCAAAACCUAGCUGAUAGGAAACAAGGAACAACACAAGUACUAAAGUAAAAUGAAACUAAACAUAGCCCUGUUCAUUUCUAGUUGCUAUAUGGGAUUACAACGUUGCUCUUGUUCUCCGCUUGUUUUUCUCUUUUUGCCAUAUAUAGUCCCAUUAUCAUAUCGUAGAUGAUUCUCCAUGACUCGUAGGUUGCAAAUGCAUCUAUUGCUGCAUACGUGAUAAGCUUGUCUAGCAACGGGCAAAACCCCCACAGAGUAUGGUCCUCCUUGCGGUUGAUUUUGUUCUUCAUGUCAUGGUAGUGAAUGUCGAUCAGCCUGCUGGCAACAUCAGCCAAAGAGUCAAAUUCAUUUUUGUUGUAUGGGUCUCUCCAUUCCACCUGAAUAUCAAUGUAGUUGUUGGAGUUGAUCUCCAAGCCAGAUAGUUUUAGCUUGUUUUUUUUCUCCUUCAAUGGCGAAUCCGGCGAAGGUGUAUUCAUCAUUCAUGAGGAAUUUGUCAAGUUCCAUUGGCCUGCAAGAUGUUUGUAUGAACUGGAUAUAGUGAGACAGUACCAUUUAUUGUUGAGAACUACCAAUGUUAUUUUUAUUCUGAAACUGAAGUGCAAUAUGAAUCCCCUGAAUCUGUUGCAGUGAGUAGCUGUUAAUACUUUCUGCAUGUUUGUUGUCUUGAAUUAAAUUUCAUACAUGUUUUAAAUUGUUUGGACUAUGAUCUUUUUUACCUCCAAAUCCAUACAGGAUUGAAUGUAGGCAUUAGUGGAGUAGUUUUUUAUUGUUCAGGUAGAUAAUUUGUAUUUGUAAAACAACAUAAAACUAUGUGGAUUGCUAGAUCAUCUAAUUCAAGAAUUGAACAGAUGAGUAACAUGGAGCCAGAUGAAAACUGUCAAUGAAUUCCUAUGCCAUGCUUUUGAAAUUGACAACCAAAGUUUAUAUAAUGGAAAUUGCGAUGAAGAAUUUUUUAAAUCAAUAUUGACAAGCAAUAGUACAGAUUGAUAAUUAUUCUCACUUGUCUUUAGCAGCAGAGAUGUCGUAGACAAGGCAUUCUUUUUCUACGCAUAGCUGGAGCACUGCUGCCCGCUGUGGCUUCAUGUUGUGUGUGUGCUCAACAUCAACGCCGACUAGUUUUACGGGCAUUCCGCCGAGCUUCCUCCUGAGCGUGGAUAACAUCUUGUCCACGUCUUGACCCUUGCUUGUGAAAACGACGUGCAACUUGUGGUUGUUGUGGAGGUCGAUGUUGUGGAGCUACCUGGUGUACCUGCGGCGCUGCUUGUACAGAGGUGCAUCCGCCAUCGAUCUCCUUUGCUCUCUCGCGUUUGUUCAGGAGAGAGAGGUAGUGAAAGGAAGUGGGGAGAAGAAGAUGCAAUGGGUUUUGGGGGGAUGAAGCAGUUGUGUUUUCUCCUCUGCUCUCCUCUACUCUCUGUGAAAGGACGUGGGAGUGGUGGAGCGGGGUGGUAGCAUGGUGGAACUGUGUUUUCAGUUACGUGGCAACUAAAGUGAGGUUCUGCUAUGAGGAGGCUGUCUUCGUGCAUUGGAAAUCCGGAACGUCGUCGCCUCUUUUUUUGUGACAACUUCAGGAAUGCACGCAACUGUCAGAAAAUGUGAUGAUUGUGUUUUUGGUGAAUUUUCCUAUUAAGUGCACUUCUUUGGUACCUUGAUAGAACUGCCUAUGUCCACAACUUGUACUGCAUGGAAGUUAUUUUUAUUCUCUAUAUACUAUAUUAUAUCGGAUCAAGAUUCAUACAGAUGUAUGCACAUUACUUUUUUGAUGGAGUACUUUUUUAUUUUCUCUUUUUUAUAGGUGAUGGUAAUGCAACUUUUGUGUGUAUGGAGGGUAGUGUUUAAUAAGGGUACCAGACUGCUUUGCUUACCUAAAUGUGCUGCAUUCUUCAUUUUUAGCCCUACUACAAUAUAGCAGAAAGAGAAUUGCAUUUCAGAAGUAGCAAUACUUCAUGCUUCGACGUGACGAACUGCAUUGUUGUAGGUCGCGUACUGCAUUUGUACGUUUACUUCGAGCUUCCUGCAUUUUAUUUAUGAGAGCGAACUGUAGUUUCUGGCAGUGCCCACACACAUUUUUUUGGUUGUUAUUCAUUUAAAAAUGUUUCUUAUUUUUCUUCAAUCUUUUAUUUUUGUAGUUAUUGUUUUUUUAGUGGCCAUGUUAUUUGAACUACUCUAGUGUGUUGGGCCUGUGUUGUUAGAGGCCUGUGUUGUUAGAGGAGUGAAAAUGCAUUCGGCCCAAGUAGGCCUGCCAGCAUGGCUGACUCCCGGUGUGCUAUGCGUGGGCGGUAUUGUUUAGUCCCACCUCGCCCAUAGAGAGAACGCAUGACCUGUUUAUAAGCCCUGGCAAGGCAUCCGUCUCGAACUCCUCUGGUUACUUAUUUGGGCGCUUAUACACGGCACUCGCUGCUCUAUCCUCUCUGACCUGUGGGCCCAUGUGUGCCCGUCCCCAUGCAUCGUGGCUUAGAACGACUCGCCUACUAUGGGUGCAGACCUACUACGAGACUGGAUGGGGCCGGUUGCACUUGGGUGGUCAAUGUUUUUUAAUUUUUCCCUCUGACGUAUAUUUUUUAAAUGUAGGGGCAUGCACUACUUAAUAAACCAUCUUGCACUGCAUCCAUCUGGUUUGUGUACUGCAUGAGUACACAUUCCGCACUACACAUUUUUAUGUGCACUUCAUGCUGGUCGCAUUUUUCUUUAUAGUUUUUCCUCUUAUGUAUCCUUUUUCUAGUGUACGGGUAUGCACUACUUUGUUCGGUCUGUUGCACUGCAUUCGUCAGAGUCUUGUGCUGCAGGUGUACGCAUUUUGUACUGCGUGCAUCCUUUUUUGCGUCAAUGUUGUGACUGCUUGUACCAACGUUGCGGACUGUAUUUCUUGUAUUUACGGACUGCAUUACGCGCACUAAAUCUAUUCGUUUGUGCACUGCACGAAAGUGCAUCUCUUGUGCUUCAUUUUGAGCAUGUACUGCACUUCAUGCACACAUAUUUUGUGAACUGUCUGAUAUUACUUUGAAGAACUGCUAUCACUUUUAUUUAGAAUGGUCUGCGGAUUAUAAUUUUUUAGGAAUAUAAAUUUUUAAUUAUCUACGGUUAGUUUGUGGGAAGUAUUGAAGUCAAAGUACACCUUUUUUGGGUCCUUUUUCUUUGGUAACAUAAGCCUGCAUUGAUUGUCCUUCAUUCUUGGUAACAUAAUUUUCAUUAACUCUUGUUUAAUUUUCAGUUUUGACCUUUUUGUAUUCCUCUUCUAUAAAUGUAGGCCAACUUCUACCCUUCCUUUGCAGUUCAUUUCUCCUCUGGCCGCAACUUCUCUCCUUUCUCCAGCCUCUCUUUAUUUAUUUUCAUUUUCUAGGUUUUUGUUGUGAUGACUCCAGGCCCCUGCGUGAAUCUCUCCUGCUACGGUCAUGGUUAUGGUGUGCCGACGGACUGCGAUGGCUCAGCUUGUUCCCAGGCCCAUCGUGCUCGCCAGGGCGGCAAGGUCUUGUGCCGAGUUGGGAGAGCAGAGCAGCUUGCAUAUGGCACAGUAUUCACGGGAGGAUUGGAUAUGGGCUACAUCAACGCUGUUGUGUUCUAUUCCACCCUGCUUCGACAUGGCCUUGGCCGCACAAGUCCUUUUGUCUAUCAGCUUACGCCAACAGACGUGGAGACUCACUACAAGAUGGUAUUUUUCGUUAGAUAUGAUUUUUUUUCUUUGUGUUUUCUACUUUUUUUGGUUUCCAUUCUAUUCUGAACUUCUAGUAUGUUAGGAACACACUUUUUUUUGAAGUGUACUGCACUGUGUUCUUAUUUCUUGUUUUUAUUUUUUUGCUUGUGUGCAUGGAGCUUGUGUUUAGUUUGCAUGGUUACAGUAUGUGAACUACUUAUAUAUUAGCUGAGCACUACAUGUUUCCACAAUUUUACCCAAUUUGUACGGUGUGUACUACAUGCAGCUAGUCUCGAGAACUGCAUGAUAGUUCAAAGCGUACUACAUAUUUGCAAGUUCUGUACUGCAUAUUAAAUUGUGUUUUAUCUGUACUGCUUGUUGGACUAUUGUGCACUUCAUCUAGCUCGUGUCUGUACUGUGUGUAGGUUUUUACUGCUCUGUGCACAGUAUGAGAAUUGUACUGCUAGUAUCGUUCUCAAACAGUUUUAUUAUUUUUUUUGCAGAAAAUCCCCCAACGAGCUGUUAGGUAUCUCCGGCUGAAGAAGAAGGGAAUUCUCCAAGUUGUUCUUGGCAAUGGACACCUAAAACCAGCCAAGUACCAUGUAGGCGUUGAUGGGCGGCUGUAUCUGCAGAAAGGCUGGAAGGAAUUUGUCAUUGAAAGUGACCUGAAGUCUGAGCAAGUUGUUUUCCUCAACUUCUUUGAACUCGAGGAUCGUACGGUUAGAAUCACAUUUGACAUGAUUGGUUAAGGUUUAUGAGGUUAAUUGUAAUAAGUACUUUUGCGUAUCGAAUGCUUCAACUUUUCAUGUGUUUUCUAAUAAAUACUUUUGCGAUCUGAACCGCUUGAAUUAUAAGUCAGAACUUCGUGCUGCUUGUGAGCUAACUGCAUUUUUUAUGGGUUGUGAAUCAAAAUGUGUCAAUGUUUACUCUAUACAUCAUUUAUCUCAAUAUGGUUUAGCCUAUGCAUCAUUUCUCUCAAUAUGCUUUAGUUAAAGAACUCAUAGUCAGUGGGAGAUUUGUGUUUACACAAAAUUUAAACUGAUACAUAAGUCGUACAGAUAUGCAAACUGCUAUGUAUAUUAGUGAUUCAUUGAACUUCAUCUAUUUGGUCGUUAAUUUGCUGCUUCUUCGCGGUGACUGGAGUGUGUCUAAUGUCGCACUUUCUUUGGUUUUCCGUGGCGGUGUUGCUGGUUCUUGUCUUUGCACCAUUGUGUUUGUAGUCCCUCGCGUGCUUGUUGAUGGCGGCUUUUGUUUUCCAGCACUGUGAACUGCAUCCUUCUUUGCUCCUCGCGUAUUGGUUGAUGGCGUCUUUUGUUUUCCAACGCUAUGAACUACAUCCUUCUUUGCUCCUCGCGUGCUGGUUGAUGGCGGCUUUUGUUUUCCAACGCUGUGAAUUGCAUGCUUUCGUCCUCCUACCUGUUUUUUUGUAUGUGGUGUUGUUCUCGGUUGUUUCUGUACAGCAACAUUCCCUUGUGUUUUUUAUCUUUUGUUUGGUGGUCUUGUGGGCAUUGUUUCAUCGUGUUCUUCGUCAUCUUCACUCUCUUCUCCCUCUUCUUCUCUCCUUCAUCUGCUUCUUCACAACCCUCUCUUUCUUCAGUUUCUCCACGUUCUUCGUCCUCUUCACUCUCUUCUUCUUCCUCCUGUUCUUCAUUUGCUUCUUCAUAAGCCAUUUCUUCUUCAGUUGUGUCACCAUCUUCUUCUGUGAUUUCAUCUUCUUCGUCUUCCUCGUUUUUUGAUCUUGUUAUUUUGGGCCAGGUUCUUGAAUUGUGUCUCUUCCUCUUUUUGCAGAUGCUGCAACAUCUCGGUUCCAUCCAUUUCUUAAUGUUGUGACUAGAAUUUCUGUUUGGUUGUGCAUCGCCAUGUUCUCAGUUUUCUUGUUCAUGUCUUUUUUUGUACAUGUCCUCGAAUUGUGGCCGCUGAUUUCGUUACAUGUCUUACACCUUCUUAUUCCUAGUGGGUGACCAUCACUGUCCAGCUCAGGCUGUGGCUUACUGUUUUUGUCAUCAUUUUUCUCCUUGCAUGCAACCUUUUUCUGGGUUGCGUCGCCCCCUUUCUUCCUUCCUCUUGUGUUUGAAACGGGAGACAGAAGAAUUGUUUCUUUUUUGAUAGCACCAGUUGCAUUGUGUUCUGUAUUUUUCUACUAGCUCGACAUUAUUGUCAUGUUGGGAUUUCUCUGCUUGCUUUAGUUUUGCUUCUUCUUCUUCUUCUUCUUCUUUGUUGAGCACAUCAACUUCCUUGAUCAGUGCCCUCAUACCAGACAACGCUUUGUGGCACUUAGCGUCGGACCUUGUCGCUCUGUUUCCAAGGUCCAUUGCUGUUUCUGUCAGCAAUUUCCUACGGCAAAAAAGUGAGCUUCCAUCUGGUGUUGUUUGUCCAUAGUCUCUUCCGUCAAAAGUUGCAUUUGAUCUUGCGUUCUGGGUGUAUCUUUUCAUGAUGUACACCUCAGGAAUCUUGAGUACUCUUGGAUGAGAAAUCAUGCAUAACACAUGGACGCAAAAGAGCCCUACAGAUAACACAUUUUUUCUUUGUUUUGUAAGUGAACUGCAUGAAAUUAAUAAACACUUUUGUUGUUGUUAUUAUUUGUUAAUUCUUAAUGAAGUGAACUUCACUUGGUCUUGUGAAGUACUCAUGCAUGUGUAAUUUUAUAGUUCAGUAGGUGAGGUUUCAUGCAUGACUACCAGAAAUUAGGAUAUUUUUUUGUUAGCGAGUCGCACCUGUGUGUGUCCAGAGCUUGCACUCACAUUCAUAGACACCUUUCUGUUCGCUGGCGACCACUUGGAAAUUAUGCCUUGCCCGGUCAAAUGAAUCCGUUCUGUUGUAGUGGUGUACAAGGUACUUUGUCGGGUUCUCAGGGCACCGUUCUGCUCUGAAUGCGGUGCUGCGGUAGAGUGUUUCUUUGAAAUCCGCAAAAACUGCUCCUGUAUACACUUUUGAUAGCUGAACUUCGAACCAAAACUGGGUUGUUGUCUUUACCUCCGACUGCAUGAUCAAAAAUGCAGCGUUACGAAUAAGAGAAAUGAAAAUUUUGUUAGUUUUUGUAGUUAUAUUUAGCAGUUUUUGAUGGACAUUUUUAUUUACCUCAUUUGCUACUGUCUCUGCGUGCUCGACGACCUUCCUGGUCUGAAUGCACUUGUCCACCUGUUGAGCAAACAGAUGGAGAUCAUGCUUCUCUUUGACUAAGUUUUUCUUCAAUAUGCGGUUCAUGCUCUUGCUUCUCUGUGUGGAAGUCAUCCGAGAACAGAAAAUUUCCUUGUAGUAAGCUGAGAUCCACUCGUGCCUGUAAUCCCACAGCGAAUUCAUCACUUCGUCGUUUUGCAAGUUGUAAUUCUGAAUGAGGACCUUCCAUGCCCGUUCAAAUUCUGACGGCAUUAGUGGGUGGUUCAGCACCGCAUUGAGUUCAUCCUUUAGUUUCUCGUGCGCCUUAUGCAGCAAGGCGAGGUAGUCUUUGUACUUCUUCAUGAUAUACCACCGACACAACUUAUUAAUGUAUCUGGGAGGAUAGUUUUUAAUGAUGCCUUCAUCAAAGAACAUUGGUCUGAAAAGGCACAAAUAGUGUUUUUUCAUUAAGUUGUUUUGUGUGUAAGAAAGACAGAAGAAAUAGAAUUGUACAAAACAAACGUAAGUAUAUAGGUGUUUUUUUGUACCUGCGAGUAUGCAGAUUGGCGGCUUGUUGUUCAUACAGCUGAGGAAUGUCUUGAAAACCUACUGGAAUGACGGUAUUGUUUCAUCUCGCACAAGGGCGACAACAAAUAUGGUACUCUGUAGAUGGUGGUUCACUCCCACGAAGACUCCAAGUGGCAUGUGGAAUUUGUUAGUUUUAUAUGUCGUGUCAAAUGUAACGCAGUCUCCAAAAUCUUCAUACGGUCCUUUGCAACUUGCGUUGGCCCAAAAGACGUUUCUUACACGGUUAUCUGCAUCAACGUCUUAAUCUUAGAAGAACUCUGGGUUUAUCUUUUGCAUCUUCUCAAAGAAAUCCAGAAGUUUCUUGACGUCAUCUUUCGACUCUUCUCUGGCAAACUUUUGUUUCCUGCAUUUCAAAUGCAAUGCAAACUCAACUCAUCAAACAAGAAAUAUUUACCGACAGAAUGCUCAAGCGAUAUGGUCUGUGACGUGCUUACUUGUUGACCCAGUCACGGCUAGUAUGUCACAUAUACUGCAGACCACCGGACAUACACGACAACAUUGACAUCAUCUGCGCGUGUGUGUGGUUGUCUAGCUGCAUGUCCUUCACCAACUGGUCAAUCAAAGGAUCCUCUCUUUUGUGCAAGCGCAUGUGCAGAAGCAUCCCGGGGCUUUCCAGCAUCUUGUGAUUGUGAUUUAGUUCAACCAUGUCUAUCACAAAUUUGCCAUCCUUCCUCUUUUUGACUCUUAUUUUUGCCUUGCAGCCAAUCCUUUUUGAUGUCUUCUCACAUUUCCGGUCAUAAUCUGACACAGUCUGCUUGUGCGCCCCUUCUCUUAAGCAGACAAUGUAGGCAUUUGUCUUGUAUUUUGCCCUGUUGCGUAUGCCAAACCCUGCAUAUCUUGCAUAUGUGUUGUAAAAGUCCCAUGCUUUGUCGUACGUGGUGAACUUCAUUCCAGCGGCAGGUAUGAGGUUCAGCGGCAUGUUUUUAUCCUGCAUCAAGUGCAGUGCUCUAUGAGAUAAAGUGUUAUGUUCUAUUUAAAUAUGAGGAGUGCAUACGAGUUUAAUAAAGCACUGCAAUGUUCCUAAGUUUCCAGAAGAAUCGGCUAUAUUAGAUGUUAGGCCAAACCUCACAAGAAAUAUUAGUGUCCACUUCAAUGUUAUCUGAAUAUACUGCAAAUAUUAUUUUCAGGACAUAAAUUUACAUGCGUGUAAUAUCGUUCAUCUGAUGGCGUUUGCAGCUAGCCAGGUUGUAUUGGAUAUGGCGGGGUUAUAGCAGAUCUGUGUAGUUGAGGAUCUCGCAGCGGCAAUAGUGAGGAGGAUUUGUACCUGCCGUCGACUUUUGACCGAGAAGCCCUUGGUGGUUGCAUUGUCAAAGUUGAUGCAGCAGGUCUUCUUGGAGCUCUGUUUUUCGGUGCGGCAGGUGGACAGUGAGCUCUGUUUUGUGGUGCAGCAGGUGGACACGGUGGUAAUCCUGUCACACCCUGCAUUUUGUAAAAUAUCAUUUGCAUUAUUAAAGCAUGAAAAUUUGGACCAACAAUUUUUUUGCAUUAUUUGGCUUUUAUUUGGAGUUGGUUUUCUCUCUGUGAUUUUUUAAGUGCUCUUUAAAGUCAACACAACUCCACCCUAUAUACUUCAUCUCCUUGCCCCAAACUUCUGCCCAAUGAUCAUGCCAUGUGUAUAGUGCAAUAUAAUAUUUUCAUACAAAAAUAAUUUGGCCAAAUAGUAUUUUCAAAAAUUAGUCUUUCCAAAAACCCCUAAAUUGAGGUUUGCACUGCAAGUACUUGAUUUGGGAUAUGAAAAAUAUUUCAAAGUGUAUAUUUGAAACCUAUUAGAUAUAGGACUCCCAUGAACCACAAAAAUAUAAUUUUUAAAACUUAUUUUCCUAUUUUAUUUAAAAGCUUCUUCUUAAGGCCAGAAAUGGUCUUUAAUAGGGAAAAAUUAUUUUAUUGUUUCAAAAAUAUUUGACAAAAAUCAGGAAAACUCAGUGGACAUAUAUUAUCCAUAUAUAAGAGUUUCAACACAUGGUCAUGUUAAAAAUAUUGGACAAAACCUCCCAAAACCAUUUCUGCCCAUUUCAAGGAUUUGAAAUAUUUCUACAGGAAAUAUUUUCAUAAAAAUCCAAGGAAAAUCCAGCAAGUCACAAAUGAAUAUUGUGAUCACCUUGCAAAGACUCAUGUCAAUUAAAGUCUUUUUGGUUCACCAAAAUGCCCCAAAACCCUCUCUGACCAGAACCAAAUUUGAACAACUUUGUACUACCAACUUUCUCUCCUUGACCCCAACUUUUGUGAACAUGAUCACCUGAAUAAAUGAGGCCACCACACCAAGUGGUGCAUCAAGGAGAAGUGAUUUGCUCAACUAGAUCUGCACAAGUUCAUUGCUGCCAAUUUCUAGGGUUUACAAAAGUUGCAUUGGCAACUUUGCCCAAAUGAGCUCAAAAUGGGUGAAAGGCCCUAAUUAUAUGUGCCAUUUAACCCUGUGGAGUCACAUGACAAAUGGGAAUCAUCUACUUGCCCAAACCAGCAUCAAACACCUUCUGCCACUUUACCAGAAUCCCUUUUUUGGCCUCUCCCACUAAUCUCCAUGAGCCUGCUUUUUAUCACAACCCCUCCUAGUUCCCCUCUAUCACCUGGAUGCUUUCCUGCCCGAGGAAGCAAUGAUGAAGGGAGGGGGAACCCCAUUUUUCUUCUAUGGACAACAGAUUCCUCCCUCUCUCUCAACCUCCUUCUCUCCCCUUAGCUUUCCAAAGCAUCCAAGGCUCUCUCCAGCUUUUGCCCAUGCCCCCUCCAGUUGCCAGACACAAGUGGACGCGCGCGGACGCGGGAAAACCGCGGAUGCCGGCCAAAGUCGCGCUCUGGAGCGCCUGGCAGGGCACCCGACCGUUGACGCCGCGUCCCCCGACCACCUCGAGCCUCCCCCGCGCGCCAGUCGAUGCCCCUCGAUGUCCGCUCCACGCCAGCAGGCUGUCCACUUGCUCCCGCGCCCUCCUCUCUCUCCUGCAGCUCGCGCCAGAGCGCCGCCCUGAUCGGCCAAUGCUCGCGCCGCUCCUAUGGCCCGCCCGCGGCUCGUCCCGCUCCUCUUCCCUCUCCCUAGCACCCUAGACCACCCCCACGAACACCCCCGAGCCCUCCAUUCCCUCUCUAACGGCCACCCGAGCCGAUCCCGCGGGCACCGUAGGCCACGCCUACGGUGGACCUCGGCCAGCCUAUAUAAGGUGACCCCGAGCCCCUCUCUCACUCCCUGUCGCUCCCCCACUCCUAAUCAACCUCCCGCACCCCCCAUUCACCUCGAGAGCCGCCCGAGCUCGACAUCGAGCUCGAGCCCCGCCGCCUCGGCUCGUCGGCGUUCGCGCGGUACAUGCCUCCUCCACCCCCAUUUUCUCUCGAUCUGGAACCGCGCGGCAACGCUGGCCCUUUCCCCUCUCUUCGCCACUCUUUUUGCAGCCGGGAACAUUCGGAACCAACGACGCCCGAAGCACCUCCACCGUGUGACCUCGUCACCGGUCACCAGGCUGCUCCGGUGACCAUCUCCACCACCACCCGAACGUCGACACCUCCCCGAGUCCAACGGUACCACCCACGCAUCCCCUCGUGCCCUAUAUCACCGCGGGCGAGCUCGCCGUCGCCUCUGGACGAAGGUAGACAACGACGAUCGUGGGCCCUGCCCGUCAGCCUCACGCCCUGAUGGGUGGGACCCACCUGUCAGGUUUAAAAACACAUGCGCGCGCACCGGUUCGCCCGUCGGCUGAAGGCGUACUCCGCCUUUACGCCUUCGACGUGGCGGCCUUGCGUGGGCCGAUUUCCCCCUGGGCCUGCUGCACUGUGGCCUUUCUGGCCCAGUGGCACAAUGCCAUUUUUCCUUUUUCUUUUCGGUCAAACUUACAAAAAUUCCUCUGGACUAAAUAUUAAUCCAAAUGAAAUAAUUCCAGUUCCUAAAUUCUUGUAAAAAACCACCUUUUUAAUGGUGCAACUUUCAUUCAAAUCCAACAACCUUUUCUUCACUGUAAAUAUUUAAAUGUGAUUUUAAGCAUUUAAAUAUACCUUUGUAAAUCCAUUUCUCCUGUUAUGCCACUCAAAAUCCAAAACUAAGAAUUUUUCUCUUCUUAGUUUUCACCCCUAGUAUUUUACAAAAAUAAGUUGACAUUUUUUUGAGCACUUUGACUUUUCUGCUUUAUUAUUGUCUUAUUUUUCCGUUAUUUUCUUGCGACGUUUAGAUCCCGUAUUUGACAAAGUAGCUGAAGAAGAAGGAGGAGAAGGAUUUGAAGACCUCGAAGAACAAGCCAAUCAAGGCAAGCAGCCCUUUGACCAUGUCUAUGGAACCCUUUUUAUGCAUGUCAUAUAGCACCAUAUUGUUGUUGCAACGGAAUCAUGAUGAGGUGGUAACCACUUUAAUGGUUUGCCACCGUUCUUCCUCGUUGAUACUUGCAUUGUGCAUGACCCUACCUUCUUAUGAGGGUUAUGCCGGUGGGAGUAGAUAGGAUGCUAAAGUAGUUGUUACGCAAAAGGGGCGGGAAUAUGCAUGGUGAUGGAGACAAAGUAUUUUCAAAAGACUUAUCGAAAAUCCCAUCGGGUGCCACUUAUGCCCGGGGGGAGAUGAUGAGUUGGGUAGCCACUUGAUGACGGAGUGGUGUACCGAGGCAAGUGUGUGUUGUUUUCAAAACGGAUUGGUUUAAGUUGCGACUGUUAUUCCAACCUUACAUGUGCAACCACUCUACCCUUGUAUGGGAAAGGGCAUUAUUGAUUACCUAGGCCGAUACUAGCUUGGAGCCCGCAUUACUAGUGACGGGGUAGAGUUGGUGCUCUCUCUCGGGACGGGGUCGUGCCAGGUAGGGCGGCCAUGACUGUUUUCACAGGGCACCGGAUACACCGUUGUGUCCCCUCUCGGGUGUUACGAUCUCGAGUGAGUCUCGUAUGAUGUACAUCAUGAGGGUAUGGAACAAUGAGGGGACUCCUUGUUAGUGUCGUCUAGGGAAAGGUAGUGAUCGGGUGCUUACCUCGGGUACUUGAGGUAUCGCGGGUCGUGAAUGACACGGAAGUUCCCUGGAUCUUGUGGGUAAAGUGUGCAACCUCUGCAGAGUGUAAAACUAUUCGAAUAGCCGUGUCCACGGUCAAGGACAGUUGGGUAACCGCUCUUGGGCUACGUCCACAUGUUUACAAACCAGUGUGUGUUUGGAUAAGUGGGAAGGUCUACUUGGGUCAAGUCAAAGGACUUGACAUGAUUGAGUUGGGUUGAUGCCCAUUCUAUUUAUGUUGAUAUCUGUAACAUGUCCUCAUGGUUACUUGAAUCCUCCGGAUGCAUGUCUUACAAGUUGUUGAACAUGUCAUUGCACUCAAAACUAGCUUUCUGCAAAAAUUUACCUAUAUCAUGCAUUGUUUCAUCUUGGACCAAAACAUGGGUUGCUUGCGAGUACAUUCAAAGUACUCAUUGGCUUGCCACUGGUUAUUUAAUUGGCCAGGCAUGGAAGAACAGGAGUUCGAAGAAGAGUUCUUUGGAGACGAACAUGCGAACUAGGACGUUUCCCAGUCAGAAUGCCUGUAGGGUUAAGGCAGAUGGCAUGGGUUCUACUUAUCGACGAAGAUUUCCGCUGCUUAAGUUUAUUUGGUAUUCAGCCCUUGUGGCUUAUCUAUGUAAGACUUGACCAUAAUGGUCAUAAUUUGUGUAAGACGGUAUGUAUGGAUGUAAGACUCUUGUUAUUCAUCUUCUGUGUGUUCAGUGAGCAUUGAUCUCUGGGAUCACUGUACAUGUGCAUUCGGUGAUGUCGACUUAUGGUUCGGGGUCCCCACAAAUCCAGUGUUGUGUUGAUCUCUCACUGGAUUGGUUUGAAAAUUUGGAGCGGCAGCACACCAUCAUAAUCAUCAUCUGCUGCAACAUCAUGUUCCACUGCAUCAUCAUUGUCUGUUCGGACAUGAUGUCCAAAUGUAGUGAACUCGUGCUUGUACUCUGGUUUGAGAAGUGUUAUUGGCUUAUCUUCAUCGUCAUCAUCUUCAUCAUCCCGUCGGUGAGUGCACUCCCACACGAAGGUGACAUCAUCGUCAUCUUCGACUACCUCUUCUUACCUGGAAAAAACCUCUUCCAGAAAGUAUUGCACCCUGUUUGUUGUAGUGUAGAAUCCUCAAGGAAUCUCAGGUGUAACCCAGCCAGUGUCUCUUUCAGAAGAAGUUUUACUCUUCUGAAAGUUGUUGUUCCCAGGGUUGUCAAUUAUGCAUGGCAUUUUGUAUCUGUUGAACAUCAUUUCCUGCACAAAAUGGUUGAGCUGCAUCGUCAGGUUAAAUGAACUGAAUCAUCCGAACUGCAAUGUGUUCGAAAUAGUACUGCAAACAAAUGCACGCUGACUGCAUAACCCCGCAAGGUGAACUGAAGUAACCGCACUGCAUCAUUGUCCAUAAUGAACCUAUACAACCGUAUUGCAUGUCCCAGCAAGCGUACUGCAAUACCGAGAAACUGCACUGCAUUUUUUUUCACGGCGAACUGAAGUAACCACACUACAUCGUUUUUGGAGGCGUACUGUACUCCUUUGUCUCGAAUAAGCAAAUUGAGAUAGUUGAGGAAGUGUACUGCUUACCUCAUGUUGCAAUGCUUCCUUGCAUUUGCAGGAAGAAGUUCCCUUCUCAUCCGCCUGCAGAACUUUUGCAUUCACCCGUGUAGUCCACUUGCCCUUCAGAAGUUCAUGGGCGGUAUUGACGUUGCUCAAGGUGAGUGGUGACGGAGGAUUUGCUCUUAAGGUGGUUGCAGCCUUAAUCCAAGAAGAUGUAGUGGAUGAAUGAAACUUGCGCACGGUCCUCCUUGCUCGAAUUGGUGCAAUGUCGAGGCAGCACCAAUCCACAUCUGAUGAAGUGCAGUUAAUUGAAGAUUCUCUCCUCAAUGUUGUGGUACUUGAAGGCCCGGAGGAGAUCUGCGGUGGCGCUCCCUGGCCGCUACCGCGGUAGAAGGCCGAGAGGGGAGGGGCGGCGGCGCCCCCUGGCUGCUGCCACAGAAGAAGGCCGGGAGGGGAGGGGUGUCGGCGCUCCCUGGCGGCUGCCGCGGGAGAAAGCGGGAAGGGGAGGGGCGGCAUCGGUCCUAGGCCGCUGCCGCAGAGAAGGCCGGGAGGGGAGGGGCGGCGGCGCUCCCUGGCCGCUGCCGCGGUAGAAGGCCAGGAGGGGAGGGGCGGUGGCGCUCCCUGGCCGCUGCCGCGGUAGAAGGCGGGCAGAAGAGGGGCGGCAGUGCUCUGGUGGGGAUGUGCAGAAUAAGCCAGGUGUUAUUUGAAUAAGGUCUUAAGGGGGUGUUAUCAUAAUAGACCAUAUGUAUGUAUGUAUGUAUGUAUAUAUAUAGGGUGGGUCUAUUAUGAUAACACCCUUAAGACUCUUAUUCUGCACACCGAAACGUCUUAUUCUGAUAACACCUCUAUACUCCGACAACCACUGGCAUGCCCCACUACCCACCACUCCCCACGAGCCUGAGGGCCACAACCUCCCUCCCCUUACGCAUCGGUGCCCCGCACCACCACCACCUACCCCAAGCCCGGCCGCCCACCACCACUCCCAUAGCCGGCGGCCACCGCGGCGCCCCACCCCACCACCACCACCAGAACCCCGCCCUUCUCCCACCCCACCCCGCGCACCACCAGCCUCCCCCUGCUCUGCCUUCUAAUCCCACGCACCGCUUCCAGACCCCUCUCCUGCAGCUAGACCGCCCCAAAGGAUCUGCCACGGCCACCAGCAGCCACGGAUCUGUCGGCCGCGAGCACCCAAUCGGCGACCAGAGCCUUGCNNNNNNNNNNNNNNNNNNNNNNNNNNNNNNNNNNNNNNNNNNNNNNNNNNNNNNNNNNNNNNNNNNNNNNNNNNNNNNNNNNNNNNNNNNNNNNNNNNNNNNNNNNNNNNNNNNNNNNNNNNNNNNNNNNNNNNNNNNNNNNNNNNNNNNNNNNNNNNNNNNNNNNNNNNNNNNNNNNNNNNNNNNNNNNNNNNNNNNNNNNNNNNNNNNNNNNNNNNNNNNNNNNNNNNNNNNNNNNNNNNNNNNNNNNNNNNNNNNNNNNNNNNNNNNNNNNNNNNNNNNNNNNNNNNNNNNNNNNNNNNNNNNNNNNNNNNNNNNNNNNNNNNNNNNNNNNNNNNNNNNNNNNNNNNNNNNNNNNNNNNNNNNAUGCGCUGCCAUCUGGCUUGCCGGUGCAUGGCAUUCAGCCGAGCUGCCGCCCUCCCCUGUGGUGGACGGAUCCGGCAUGAUCCCAGUCAUCGUGAUGGAUGCUCACCGGCCAAUUUCUUGUCACGGCGGCCAUCCCUGAGACCCAACGCCCAACGCCCGCCUUCCUAUGGUGCCUGGAGAGGCCCUCGUGGCAGCCCGCCUUCCACCACCGGCCUCCGUGCCAUUCACGAGGUGAAGCCACCUCCCAGUUUGCAGGGGUGUGCGCGUGCAGCAUGACAGGCGUGAUGGUGCAGUCCGGCAGGGUAGCUCAUGCAGUGCUCACACGCCACAGCAACACCACCUCCGCCCCCACACGGUGGGGUACUAUCGUGCAGUUCGCCCCAUCCUCUGGAUCCGCGGCCAUGGGCGUCGUCCUCGUCGUCAGCAAAGGACGAGGGAGGCAACAGAAGUCUGAAUCGUUGGUAAGAAUCGGCUAAGCUCUCUGCGAUUUCUAUUUUGUUAGUCUUCCUUCCGUGCUCAGGUGUCAGUUCUAGCUAUGAUGUGCGUUGAUUUCUGUUUGACUGGCUUUCCCGCAGAUGAGGGGGAUGGAUUUAUGAUUUGUACUAUGGUCAUCUAACCAUGUCUCCAAUUUCUGUUUGGUUGGCUUUGAUCAGGAGGAAGGAUUUGGAGGCAUGGAGCCUGCAGCCGACCGUCAAGGCCGGGCUGCUGGCUAAAUGCCGAACAAGCCACCCGGGAGGAGCUCCUCGAGUCCGACAUGUCGGACACACUCGCGGUGAGCUAUCCAUCCCUCACGUUUCCGCCUCUGAAGGUUUGCAGCUGCUCGUGGCACGAGGAAGAAAGGCCUAUCUGCCUUUGGAACUCUAUCGCCAGACCACCCCGUCGCAGCUUUGUUCUCCCCAACAUGUACUUCACCCUGUCGUAGCUCGCGGCUCCCUCCUCCAACUGCAGUUCAUUUGAUUUUAGUGUUGAAGCUCACUGAAUCUUGUUUUGUAGUUCGCUGGGGGGUGGUUUGCCGUUUGCACAGCUCGGGUCGGGCUGUCCGCAGCAUGUGGAGUCGCGAGCAUGGGCGUGCAGUGCGACACGUCGGUGCGUGCAGUGCAGCGUGUGGGUGUGUGUAGUGCUCAAUGAUGGUUGUGGAGCACCAGGGGACGAGCACCACGUCCCCACCCCCUGUGUUGAUGGCCAAAGUCGAAGGAACCCCUGUGCACUACGGUGCUAGUUGUUCUUCUUCUACGGGUCAAACGAGCUAAGAAAAGUUGGGGUCAACACCACUCUUCCGCAUGCAGUGCACUUCACCUCAUGAGUGGUUGCAGUUUAGAGCGUGUGUGCGAGCAGAGGAGGACAUGUGCUUGCAGUUGAAAGCGUGUGUGCGUGCAAUGCGCCCGUUUUGGUUGACUUAUUCAUUUUUCGAUGGGGUUCACUUUGUUUGUAGCAGCUCACUACCCCUUUGUAUGAAGUGCAAUUUAUUUCAUGUGUUCCAAAACUCACUUGGCUAAACUCAACACCUGCAGUGCGUUUGGUCCUCGGAUGUGGUUCACUUUUGAGAGUGAUGCUGUUCACUUGCGUAUGAGAAAAAAAACGUUCGACAAAACAAAUUAUGCAGCUCACUAGCCCAUCCGAUGCAGUGCGGUUUUCAUUUAGAAGCAGUGUGGUCGGCCGUAUGAUGUUGUUCAUCCCGUAAGUGCAAAAAAAUUGUUACGAAAGCGAAAAAAAGUAAUGCGGUUCACUUUUUGGUACUGUUGUGGUUCAUUUACACCUGAUGUGAAGUGCACUCUACUUUCUCGUUCUUGAAAAAAAUCACGUUUGAAUAAAAGAAAUCAUGCAGUUCUCUUAACCGUGUGAUGCAGUGCGGUUUUUCGUCUGUUGCAGUGUGGUUUUCAGUCGGAUGAAGUACCCACGUCGAUUUGGGUGUCGCGAAAAACAGAGUGUCCGCAUUUCGGUAAAUUCGAAAUUCCUCUUAAACCAUAAAGAAUUAGAGAGAGUGUUAUACAUGAAAGAGUUGCGUAUCGUCGAUAUCUUUCCAACAGCGUAUCGUUUGAAUCAUUCCGACCAGCGGUUUGUAAAAAUUUCGCCAAAAACGGCCGCUGCCACUCGUCGUCCGCCGCACGACUUUCAAAAUUAACUUAAAACCGUAAGGAAUCCGAAAAAUAUUUCAACAUAUGAAAGUUGCGCCUCGUUUGUAGAUUUCCAACGGCGUAUCACACGCCUCGUUUUGACAAACGGUUCAAAAACUGAAGCGAAAACAAUAUCGAAAAUUUUAAAAAACUUGAAAAACAGAAUUCCGUGAUUUAGUAAAUUUGAAACUGCUCUUAAACCGUAAGGAAUUAGAGAAAGAUUUAUAUAUAAAAAAGAUGCGCCUCGACGAUAUCUAUCCAAUGGCAUAUCGUUUGCUUCAUUCCGACGAGUGGUUUAGAAGAAAUCACGAAAAAAACACUCGCUGCCACUCGUCAUCCGCCGCACCAUUUUCAAAACUGCUCUUAAACCGUGUGGAAUCUCGAAAAGUGUUCAACAUGUCGAAGUUGCGCCUAAUCCAUAUCUUUUCAACGUUAUAUUACACGCCUCAUUCCGAUAAACGGUUAAAAAAUUAGAGCGAAAACAGUACCGAAAAAAUAACGCGUGCAGUUUUUUUCGACGAGAAGUUCACUCGUGUGAGUACUGCAGCACACUUGGUUCAAAGAAUGACGUGCACUUGCGUUCAGCGUACAGUGUGGAAGUGGUGUGCAGAAUAGUUAUUCUGCUAAUAUAUAUAUAUAUAUAUAUAUAUAUAUAUAUAUAUAUAUAUAUGAUACUAGCUAGCUAGUCUAUGAUAUACUAGCUAGCUCUACCUCACUAAUGCAUAGUAUCAUAGAGUAGUAUCAUCUAGUACUUUAUUUAUUGUCAUGCAUGACACAUAGUAGCAUAGCAUUUAUUAUGACAUGGUUUCAUGAUAUGAUACUUAACCCUCUCUUUCUUCAUUUAAUUCUAUGACAGCUCAUCAAAAUUGCCUAGUUGGUAUGACACUAGCUAUGAUAUCCCAUUACGACCAGCCUAGCAAAGAAGGUGUACAGAUCAUUUGUGCGUCGCUUUGCAAGUUUUCAUCCGUUUGUUCAAGAAGCGGGAGAAGUUUCAAACAUUUCGGGCGCGAGGUGCGGCCACUGGCGUAGGGCUAGUUGAUAUUUUAGUUACAGUAAAUUCAGAUGGAGUCUGGACAUCAUCAAAAUCGAUGCGUGCCUGUGGCGUGCUAUCACGACCUCGUGAAAAAAAUUUAGUAAAGUUUGGCACAAGUUUUGAUGAUCGCUCCUUCCAAACCGGAGCAUCUCACAUGAAGGAUCAUGGUUUCCCAAAGGAGACGUGUCAAUUCAAACUCCUAUGGCCGGUGACUUCAUCGUUUGUCCUCAUAAAUAUUUCCAUGGUACGCAAUCACCGUUAUACCACGGGUUUUAUUUUCUGGCGCAUUUCAGGUAUCGUUAGCUAUAUUUAAGACAUUUUUUGAAUUUAACGUGCAUUUUGUGCAUAAAAAUAACAUUACAACCGGAACUGCCUGUGCUGUCGAAAGGGAUGAGGAUCGUAGUUCGAUCUGGGAGCAUCCAAUGGUGUAGACGUAUGAUCCGUGGGGUGUGGAUUCUGGCCAAUCAGAACGCACGACUCAGAUCAUGGGCGGGGUUUUGUCGGCACACGACUUUCAUCAACAAACCAUGUGCUAUUCGCAAACCAGAUUGCAUACAUAUUUUUGUUCAUACAUACUGUAGUGAGAUCAAUUGAGUGUGUACAUCAACAGAAAACCAGACAUAACUCACAAAUUUAGUACACGCGGCAGUUCUAAAUUGAACGAAUUAAGUUGCAGGGUAGGCAUAAAGACUAGUCUUACAGCUUAAUUCCCAUGUACAUGGGGGAACUGGGAUCAUUACGUUGACCCCGAAUGAACUUGGGUUUUCUGAUGAUUUUACGCUUCUCUGUUACACGUGUGCGUGAUCCCUUGGCUGGCAACUCAUCAAAUUCAUCGUACUCGUCCUCAUCGGCAACAUCGUCGACACCCAGUACCCUCCUCUUCCCAUGCAUCACUACAUGGCAGUUCUUAUGCAAAGGGUCUUCCGCAAAGAAAAUCUGUGUAGCAUCGCUGGCAAGAAUGAACGGCCAUCGUUGUCCUGUGAACACAAGUCUUCCUAUAAUCAUCAACCUUUACUUGACCAAGAGGGAUCCAUGAGCACCUAAAUAAUGCCACCUUAACUUUCACAUAGUCAAGCUCCCAAAUCUCUUUGAUUGUUCCAUAGUAUACCCUUUUAUCAGCUUCAUCUAUAGUCAUGCAUUCUAUUCGAACAGAGUUGUUCUGAUGUGAGGUCUUCUCAUCACAUUCAUCAGUGUAGAACGUGUAUCCAUUUAUGCCAUAUGCUUGGUUCGUCAACACCGCAGGUGAUGGCUUUUGUGCCUACCACGUAGCAAUGUCAUCGAUGGAUCCUUGUGCCAAACGCUUCUUCAGCCAUUCGUCGUAGUUCUUAGUGUGCUCCUUCAUCUCCACAUCUGAUGAAGGCACCAUUGGUAAGAAGCUUUGGCGUAUCUCCGCCAAGUGUUCUUUGGCGUAAGCGCUGAGAACUGGGCUGUUAAGCAGUAUCGUCAAAUGGGCUUUCUUUGCCAAUUCUCCGGGUGCAGCCAUUUGCGUGCCAGCAAGGACCGGCUUACCUUUCAGCCUUCCCUCGUGGCGAGAGAGGGGCAAACCUAUAGGUCAUUGUUUCAUGUAUUCGGUGCAAAACUCAACCACCUCCUCUGUGGUAUAACCUUGAAGGAUGCUUGCCUCUGGAUGGUUUCGGUUAUGACAAAAGCGUUUCAGUAUUCCCAUGAACCACUCAAAGGGAUACAUGUUGGGAAGAAACACAGGACCACAAUACUUUAUCUCGUCGACAAGGUGCAUAGUGAGAUGGACCAUGACAUCAAAGAAUGACGGUGGAAAAAACAUCUCUAGGUUGCACAAUAUUCUUGCAAUAUCAUCUUGCAUAUGAUCCAGCUCUUCAGGAUCUACAACUUUCUGUCAUAGUGGGUUGAAGAAAUCACGGAGCUCAAUGAGUGUGUUCCUUAUAUGUUUGUCCAACAGUUCCUGAUGGCCACCGGGAGAAUUUGUGUCAACAUUACGUGGAAAUCAUGUGACUUCAUGUGUCCCAACUUCAUUUUACCUGAGCUCACAUCCACGAGACUUCUGAUGUUUGUGGAGUAGGAAGAGGGUGUCUUAACUAACAACAAAUAGGUGAAGAACUGUGUUGCUUCUUUUGUACUGAAAUUGUAACUCUGGCGAGCUUUGAUGAAUUUGUCAUCAUCUUCUGCGUCACUCUUUCCUUUUGAUUGAUCAGCAAGCAUCUCGAGCCGUGAACCCUCACCAUCCUUUCUUUUACCUUUAAUCUUGAGCAGAGUACCAAGGAUGCUUUCACAUAUGUUCUUCUCAACGUGCAUGACAUCGAUGCAGUGACGUACACAUAGAAUCUCCCAAUAAGGUAAUUUCCAGAACACCAAUUUCUUCUUAAACACUUGACCCUUGGGUGUUUGUUUCACCGUCAAAGCGUGAUUCUUGCCAAGCACAACAUUAAUUUGUUUAGCCAUGUUGUGGGCCACCUCCCCAUCAUAGGGUCUUGGGCCCACUUCUACCUCUGCCAUACCAUCAAAUUCAGCUUUCAUCUUUUGGUAUGGGUGAUUUUUCCGUAAGAACCUACGAUGACGCAAAUACAUGGUUUUGCAUGAGUUGGGAAGUCUUCUGCUAGCUAUCCUAUCCAUGCAUGUGACACACCCUACAUCUCCCUUUGUUUUCUGCCCCGAUGUGUUGCCUAAUUCCGGCAUAUCUUGAAUGGUGUGCACCAGCAUCGCAUGUAGAUCGAAAAUCUCCUUUUUGUAAGCAUCAUAACAUUUUACAUUAGGUGCAUCUAUCCACACUGUCAGCAAUUCUUCUACCAGUAGCUGAAAGUAAACGUCAAUGUCAUUUCCAGGUUGCUUCGGCCCUUGGAUAAUCAUUGACAUCAUAAUGUAUUUUUUUCUUCAUACACAAUCAAGGAGCUAGGUUAUAUAUGCACAGAAGCACCGGCCAUGUGAUGUGAUUGGUCCUAAUAUCGCCAAAAGGAUUCAUCCCAUCGGUACACUCCCCGAGCCGUAUACUUCUAGGAUCCUUGGCAAAGUCUUCAAACUUGUUCUCGAUUAAUUCCCACUGAGCCCCAUCUUUCGGGUGCGUCAUAUACUUAUCCGCAAUUUGCUCAUCAUGAUGCCACCGCAACCUCUUUGCCUCUCUAGGGUUUGAAAACAAAUGCCUCAACCUUGGAAUUAAAGGCAAGUACCAAACAACCUUGAACGAGAUUCCUGUCUUGAUCUUGUAGUCCAAUCUGUACUUGUCCUUUGCUCUCUUGCGCUUGUAUCGUGCAUGCUUUUAUUCGGGACAUGCACGCAAAUCUUUGUACUCACCAAGGUACAAUAUACAAUCAUUCACACAAGCGUGUAUCUUCUGUACUUCAAGUUCCAAUGGCAAAAAAAAUCUUCGCUUCAUUCGUGCUUCUGGGGAGCACAUUAUCUUCCGGAAGAAUUUCUUUGAAAAGACCUAACAUAUCUGUGAAGCCUUUGUUUGAUAAACUGUUUGCUGCUUUAAAUCUGAGAAGCGCCAGGGUGGCACUCAACCUGGAAUAUUUCCUUUUGCAACUUGGAUACAAUUUUUUCUUGGAGACCGCAUCAAUGGUUGGCAGAUCCUUGUACCCAAUCCUAUCCUUUUCUGGGCCCUUGAAAUCUACAAUCAUAGUAGCAAAAUCUGGCAUAUCAAGAUCGUCGUCAUCUGCAUCGACGUCUUGGUUUUCCAGUGGGCGUUUCGGCUUUCCGAUGUUCCAUUGGUAGCUUGACGCCUCUGUCCCGAUGUUAGAUUCAACACCCAUGUGACACUGAUCGGGGUUUGGCAUCUCGUAGCCCUGGCUAUCUUCAUCCGUGACCUCCUCUUCACCGUGUCUGGUCCAACGUGUAUAUCCAUCCAUGAAUCCCAGAGAGACUAAGUGUCAUUGGACAUCUGCAACUACAUGUGACUCUGUAUUGGCACAAUCAGUACAUGGGCACAUGAUGUAAUCCGCAUAACCAAUUCUCCUCUUUGUACUUUCAGCCAAAUUCAUGAACUUUGUCACGCCACUGAUAAAAUCUGCGGUUUUCCAAUUCUUCAUCCAUUCAGAUCGUUCCAUCUGCACCACACGAAUGGUAAUUAAAAACAAAACAACAACAUUAAUACACAGAUUAACUGCUGCCCAAUGAUGCGUGCAUAAAUCAUAAGGCUUUAUUUUCAUAAUUACUGAGGGCGCUCCAUAUUGUCAUCCAGACAUGGAAUGACAAAAAUUAAUGGCCAGUCAAUUUACACGCAGAGUACUAGUACAAAACUACCCUUAGGAAUUGGAUACCUUAAUUAAGUGACUCACAAAAAGAAUACCUUAAUUAAGUAGCCGCGCGGCGAUGUCAACCCAACAGAGAGAGAAGCGCGAUGCGGCGGCAUGCCGAGACAGCAGGGUCGAGGAGCAAAGCUUAGUGCGGCUGCCGCCUGAAGUUCGACCUCCACUAUACCGCCAUCGACCGCGAUGGAUGUGCUCGAAUCACGCCGACGACGACCUCGACAGCUGAGCUCCUCCUAUCCCCCGCCAUAGACCAAGGAUUGACCUCCUAUGACGCCACCGCCCACCGACCGAGGAUUGGCCUCUUCUCUGGUACCCUUGCUUAGGCCGCCGCCGCCAUCUCUAGAUGCAUACCGGCUGUUUUUUUACGGAUAUCCGCAGAGCGGCUGUUUACACGGUAUCACUCUAACUCAAUUAUAUGCACAGGGUAGUACAUCACAUACGGUUAUGUAACGAUAACCGUGUCUCACCUACGUUGUCUUCUCUCACACGGUUUGGUGCACAAAUCGUGUGUGACGUUGUAAUACCUGACACAAACGACAUGUAUAAACAAUGUGACGUAUACUCCAACAUAUAGUGCCAUAAGUAGUUCCUGACCGUUAGCUUAUCCCCACAGUUUCCCCAUUUCCCCCAAAUCCAUACAUAGCCUCCAAAUUCCCUCGCGUGGAGCUGACAUUGGGGGAAUGCGGGCGAGUGGUGCUGAUGGUUUCGGUGCAGCUGCUCCUGCUCGUAUCGUCGCCACGACGGCGGUCGCCGCCGGGCACUUGCCUAAGGUCAUCAGAAGGUAGGUGUACUAGGGAUCCAAAUCGUCCUGUCAGGUUCCAAUCUAUCCCGAUCUUUUUUAGCGUGCCCAAAGUAGCUCCUUGCAGAAUCCGUCCUAAAUUGACCCCCCCCCCAGGAAAGCGAUCGCCGCCCGAUCCGGAGCAUGACUCCAGACUCCCACAACAUGAGUUGGACUCCGAGUUUUGCGCCACCGAGAAGUAAGAAAAGCUGAGUUGUGUGUACGGAGACACUCCUGCUCGACGUGUACGCACGAAGGGAUUCGACAUCGGCAGGCUGAUUCUCAGUUGCCCCUUAGAGGUUAGUGCUAAGUUCAUCAUUUUACUUGAGUUAAUGCCACCGCUCAUCUUGAAUACUACUUAACAUUGGCAGGGAUAUGAGGCUUGUGCCUUUGUUAACUGGAUGGAUGAAGAAUGGCAUGGCAGGGCUCAGAGAGUUAUCACCAAGCUCGCAAAACAUAACGUUAAGUUGAAGAGGAAACUGGUUGAUCUGGAAUGUACAAUCAGUACGACGAAGCAAGAAAGAAUCAAUCACAGGCAACAGAUGAAAGCAAGAGACAAGAAGGAACAAGCAUAUGUAGUUGUGGUUGUCAUUUGCCAUGUUAUAUGCGCUGUUUGCAAUGAUGAUUAAGGGUUUUGUUUGUGAAAGCACAAGUGCUCCCUGGGUGAUUUUGGUAAUUAAUGUCAAUAUAUCUCUUAUUGGACGAAUACUUUCAUCAAGUAUAUUUCAGAUAAUCCCAAUAGUGGAGUGGCAUGGACAAGAGGAUGUGGAACCCCUUCAAGAUGCUAAGGACAAAGGAUUGGCUCAAGCUCAAAGCUCAGGACUCUACAUCUUCUAUUUUCAGUGAUCCAAGAUCACAUUGAGUGUAUAGGAAAGCCAAUACUAUUAAAAGGGGAUGAGGUGUUGCCUAAUGGCUUGCUUGCUCAAAGUGCUUAGUGAUAUGCUCCAAAGCCCUCAGCCAUUUUCUCAUAUCCACAUAUGUCCCAAACCAAAAGUCAAACUCGGCCCCACCGAUUUGAUCCAUCCGACGCCACCGAGUUCGUUUGACAUAGCCACUGCCAAAAACCCUAAGCCAUUCGGUCACACCGAUGGGAUCUCGGUCUCACCGAGAUGGGCUUGCAAUCUCUCUAUUGUCUAUUACAACAUUUUGGUCCCAUCGAGUAGAUGUAAUCGGUCACACCGAGUUUGUGUGACCAACUCUCUAUUUUACUUAUUACCAAAUCGGUCUCACUGAGUUGUGUAAUCGGUCAAAUUGAGAUGAGGUUUUACCCUAACCCUUGCACAUCGGUCCCACCGAGUUGAUCAUGUCGGUCCCACCGAAAUUGCCUAACAGUCACAUAUGUACUAAAUCGGUCCGACCGAGUUUUCUGAUUCGGUCCCACCGAGUUUGGUAUAAUGUGUGUAACGGUUAGAAUUUGUGUGGAGGCUAUAUAUACCCCUCCACCCUCUCCUCAUUCGUGAGGGAAGCCAUCAGAUCGUGCCUACACUUCCACUACCCAUUUUCUGAGAGAGAGCCACCUACUCAUGUGUUGAGACCAAGAUAUUCCAAUCCAACCAUAUGAAUCUUGAUCUCUAGACUUCCCCAAGUUGCUUUCCACUCAAAUUAUCUUUCCACCAAAUCCAAUCCUAUGAGAGUGAGUUGAGUGUUGGGGAGACUAUCAUUUGAAGCACAAGAGCAAGGAGUUCAUCAUCAACACACCAUCUAUUACCUUUUGGAGAGUGGUGUCUCCUAGAUUGGUUAGGUGUCACUUGGGAGCCUCCGACAAGAUUGUGGAGUGAACCAAGGAGUUUGUAAGGGCAAGGAGAUCGCCUACUUCGUGAAGAUCUACCCUAGUGAGGCAAGUCCUUCAUGGGCGAUGGCCAUGGUGGGAUAGACAAGGUUGCUUCUGCGUGGAUCCUUCAUCGGUGGAGCCCUCCGUGGACUCACGCAGCCGUUACCCUUCGUGGGUUGAAGUCUCCAUCAACGUGGAUGUACGAUAGCACCACCUAUCAGAACCACGACAAAAACAUUCGUGUCUCCAAUUGCGUUUGCACAGUCCUAUCCCAUCCCUUUACUUUCUUGCAAGUUGCAUGCUUUACUUUCCACUGCCAAUAUACUCUUUUCAUGCUUGCUUGAUUUGUAUUGUGAAUGGUUAAACUUGUGCUUAAACUCCACCUAAACUUGAAAACUUAAAAACUGCCAACUUUGUGUGUUAAGGGUCUAUUCACCCCCCUCUAGACACCUCUUCUCGAUCCUUUCAAUUGGUAUCAGAGCUUUGGUCUCCAUUGCUUUGGUUUAAACACCAUUGGAGGAAGAUGGAUGAGUCUACUUUGGGGAGUCUUAGACAUAGAGUGCCUAUACUUGGAGAGUACUUUCAUGAGUGGAAAAAUGAGAUGCUUGAGAUUUUAAAUGAAUAUCAUUUGAACAAGUACAUUACUAGACCUUGUGUACCUCAUGUUGAUCCUAUGAAUCCUACCCUUGAUGAGUCAAUUGACAUGAUUCACAAUCUUAGAACUGUUAGUCUUAUCACUAGAGGUUUUCCUAGAAACUUGAUAGGUUGCUUACCUACUCUUAAGUGUGCCUACACUAUAUGGAAAUUUCUUGAGGAACGAUUUCCAAAUUAUUCCUUGCAAAAUCUAGAUGAGAUUCUUCAUAAGUCUAUUGCCUUGAGUAAGAUGAAUUCCAAUGAUCCUAAGUUUGGUGAUUGUCUAUUUGAGCUUAGAAAUCUUAUGCGUGCUAAAGGAGAUGUUAGAAUUAUUAGCAAUAUUAUUUCCGAAGCUAUUAGAAUUCAUAAAGGAGAUCAUUGUCAAACUCAACUAUCUAAUGAAUCACCCUCUCUAGGAAUUGAUCCACCACAUGACUAUGUUGAACAUGGAUACUAUGAUGAGGAUGAUGAUAGUGACUUUGAUCUUGAUGAUGCAAUGAGACACUUUGGUCUUAUGGAAAAUCUUCGGGGAUACAUGGCAGGAGGAAAGGAAUGGGUUCUUGAUAGUGGAUGUACCGAUCACAUGACCGGAGAUAAAGAUAUGUUUCGUGAGCUUGCUGAAAACGACGGCCCUUGAAAGUAUGUCACUUUUGGUAAUAACUCAAAGGGUAAGGUGGGUGGCCUCGGUAAGGUGGCCAUCUCACAUGAUAGCUCCAUACAAAAUGUCAUGCUCGUUGAAUCUCUUGGCUAUAAUCUGCUUUCUGUUUCUAGACUAGCUGACUUUGGCUUCAAUGUUCUAUUUACCAAAGUAGAUUACCAAGAGUUUCAUAGAGAGUCCCCUUCUUCAUGGACAUAAUAAUACUUAGCUCAUGGGCUAUUUGGAUUUCCAGAAACAACAAGAUCUUUGAACAUAUCCACCCCACAUUUCAAGGAUGGAAGAACAUUUUCUUGAUGGAGCUGAAGUUACUCAAGCACAGGAUGAGAACAAAACAUGCCAACCAAUUCAACUCAUGGUUGGAUUUCAAGGAUAGUUUUGUUCUUUCUCUUUGGCAGCUCCUUCCUGCCUAGGUCUUUAGCUUUAGCUUCAGUUAUAGCCUUAGUCUUAGUCUUCUGUUUUGUUUUUCUAGCUUCUUUAGUUUCUUCUCUUUCUUCUUCUUCUUUUCUUCUUCUGCUCUUUUAGGGUGCUUCUCUCAAGCCCUUGCUGUUUUCUUCUUUCUUUGUAGCUCUGGACCUUGCACUUGCUUAGUUAUUUAUAAAAAUUGCAGUGGGGUGUUUUACCCUACUGUUUAUAGUAAAAAAAAGUGUUUCGUAGAGAUAAUCAUAAAAUGGUCUUUACCAAUAUACGCAAAGGUGAUCUAUACAUUGUUGAUUUCACUUAAAAGGCUCAACCCAGAACUUUCUUAAUUGCUAAAUCCUCUAAAGGUUGGUUGUGGCAUAGACGGUUAGGUCAUGUGGGCAUGCGAAACCUUGACAAGCUUAUUAAACGAGAUCAUAUCCUUGGUGUUAAAGAUGUCAUAUUUGAUAAGGAUAGACUUUGCAGCGCUUAUCAAGCAGGUAAAUAGGUUGGAGGAAGCCACCCCGUGAAGAACAUCAUGACCAUAAGGAGGCUGCUGGAGCUGCUUCACAUGGAUCUUUUCGGUCCUAAUGCUUACAAAGGUCUCGGUGGAAACUCAUUUGGUCUAGUUAUAGUUGAUGAUUUUUCAAGAUUUACGUGGGUGUUCUUUCUCGAUGAUAAAUCGCGGUCCAAAAGAUCUUCAAAAACUUCGCUAGGAAGGCCCAAAAUCAAUUUGAAGUGAAGAUCAAGAAGGUUCGCAGUGACAACGGAACGGAGUUCAAGAACGCAAAUGUGGACACCUUUCUUGACGAAGAAGGGAUUUUACAUGAGUUCUCGGCUACAUACACACCGCAACAAAAUGGAGUUGUUGAGAGGAAGAACCGGACGCUCAUCGAAAUGGCACGAACAAUGCUUGAUGAGUACAAGACGCCAAAGCACUUUUGGGCGGAAGUGGUUGAAACAGCUUGUCAUGCGACAAAUCCUUGUAUCUUCACAAGCUACUCGGCAAGACGAUAUACGAGCUCCUCACCAGUAACAAAUCCCAAGUUGGAUACUUUCGAGUAUUUGGCUCAAAGUGCUACAUUCUUGAUAAACUCGCCGUUCUAAAUUUGCUCCAAAAUCUCAUGAAGGUUUCCUACUUGGUUAUGGCUCAAACUCUCACACUUGCCGUGUCUACAACAAUUUCACCCGAAAGGUUGAGGAGACGGUAGAUGUGAAGUUUGAUGAAUCUAAAGGCUCGCAAGUAGAGCAAUUGCCAAUUGAUGUAGGAGAUAAAGAUCCUUCGAAAGCAAUCCAAGACUUGUCGAUUGGCAAAGUUCGUCCAACAGAGGUGAAGGAGAGUACCUCGUCCAUCGAAGUGGAAGCUUCUACCUCACGACAAGGUGAACCAAGAGUUGAUAUGGAAGCAUCCACAAGUGGGACACACCAAGAUGAAUAAAACAAGGAAGUACACCAAGAUGAACCACAUCAACCUCCUUCUCCACCACGACAAGGGAAUGACAACGUCAACCAUGAUGAAGGCCAAGAAGAAGAACGAGAUGAUGAAGAAUAUGUUCCACCCCGAUCAAAGCAAAAUCUCUCAUGAGUUCGAGCAAGAGUUGCUAGAGACCAUCCCGUCGAGCAAAUCUACAAUGGUAUCCAAACCGGGAGAAUCACUCGCUCUAAAUCUCGUUUGGCUAAUUUUUGUGAACAUUAUUCAUUCAUCUCUAGCAUUGAACCUAUGAAGGUUGAAGAAGCAUUGGAAGAUCCGAAUUGGAUAAAAGCCAUGCACGAAGAACUACACAAUUUUGAGAGAAACCAAGUAUGGACAUUGGUCGAGAAGCCCGACAACAACCACAACAUCAUCGAUACCAAAUGGGUGUUUCGCAACAAGAAAGAUGAAGAUGGACAAGUAGUUUGCAACAAAGCACGCCUCGUCGCCCAAGGCUACACUCAAGUUGAAGGUAUGGACUAUGGUGAGACAUAUGCCCCCGUUGCUAGACUUGAGUCCAUUCGCAUAUUACCUGCCUAUGCUAAUCACCAUGAUAUCACUUUAUACCAAAUGAACAUUAAAAGUUUUUUUUCUAAAUGGUGAAAUUGAGGAGGAAGUUUAUGUUAAACAACCUCCCGGCUUUGUCAAUCCUAAGAAACCCAAUCAUGUUUACAAGCUUCACAAAGCUCUUUAUGGUCUUAAACAAGCUCCUAGAGCAUGGUAUAAAUGCUUGACCAAGUUCCUCAUUAAAAAAGGCUUUGAGAUUGGAAAAAUUGAUUCUACUCUUUUCACUAAAAGGGUUAGUGGAGAAUUAUUUGUGUGCCAAAUGUAUGUUGAUGAUAUAAUAUUUGGAUCAACUAACCCUCAUUUUAGUGAGAAUUUUGGGAAGCUUAUGUCGGAGAAGUUUGAGAUGUCUAUGAUGAGUGAACUCAAGUUAUUUCUUGGUUUGCAAAUCAAGCAAACUAAGGAAGGCACCUUCGUCUCUCAAACGAAGUACACCAAAGACUUGUUCAAGAAGUUCAAUAUGCAAGAAUGCAAAGGUAUGAGUACACCCAUGCCUACUAGUGGACAUCUUGACUUGACCAAAGAUGGUGAACCCGUUGAUCAAAAGGUUUAUCGCUCUAUGAUUGGUUUACUAUUGUAUCUAUAUGCCUCUCGUCCCGAUAUCAUGCUAAGUGUGUGCAUGUGUGCACGAUAUCAAGCGGACCCUAAAGAGUGUCAUCUUAAGGCCGUGAAAAGUAUAGUGAGAUACUUAAUCCAUACACCAAACUUUGGCAUUUGGUAUCCAAAGAGGGCCUCUUUCAAUCUUGUUGGCUACUCCGACUCGGACUAUGCCGGUGACAAGGUUGAUAGAAAGUCCACUUCGGGUACUUGUCAAUUUCUUGGUAGAUCUCUUGUAUCUUGGUCCUCCAAGAAACAAAACUCGGUAUCCUUAUCCACCACCGAAGCGGAAUACAUUGCCUCCGGUUCAUGUUGUGCUCAAUUACUUUGGAUGACCCGAACUCUUAAAGAUUAUGGGAUAUAUGUGAAACAUGUUCCUUUGCUUUAUGACAAUGAAAGUGCUAUUAAGAUUGCUCACAAUCCCGUGCAACACUCUCGAACUAAGCACAUUGAAGUUCGCCAUCAUUUCAUUCGAGAUCAUGUUACUAAGGGUGAUAUUAACCUUAAGCACGUUCACACCGACAAGCAGUUGGUGCAUAUAUUCACUAAACCACUUGAUGAGAAAGUGUUUUGCAGGUUGAGAGGUGAAUUGAACAUCAUUGAUUCCUCAAACUUGGAGUAGGAACUCCAUUUGGAUAUAUGCAAGACAUGAGCCUAUGACUAAUCCUUGAUAUUUCUCUCAUGAUGAUGAUCAUAUAUCUUGGAUACAUUUGCACCCUUGCAUGUUAUCUAACCCAUGUAGGUACUUGGAUGGAUCUAAAUCUAUGAGAUUGCAACUCAUUCACAUCUUGAGCAAUCUCUACAUCACCAAGUCUCUACUUUACGGUGGUUGAAGACAAGGAAGCAUGAAACCCUUCAAAUAUAUCCUUUGACAAAUUCCUAUAUCAGAUUUCAUGAUUAUCAUUUUGGAUACACAAGUGCUUUUCCUUGCAAAUCUAAUCCAUGUAGGUAGAUGAACUCCAAUUACAAGUGGUGCUCCAAAUGAACUACAUCAACAUUGAGCAUCCCACACAAGUUCAACUACAUGAUUCAACACCACCACCCAAGGUAUGUUAUUCCAUCUUAGAGAAGCUUUACCCCAAGACAUGGGUCCAAGCAACUCAACAAGAUGUGAAUACAUCAAGAUGCUUAAACGAAAAAUGGCAACCCCAUUUUGAGCUUAAACAAUGAGUAUGACCUAUGAUCAAGUGUCCUCACUUGACUCCUAAGUAAAUAUACUCUAACAUAGGGGACCUUGUCGCCGACCAAUUCUAGAUGAAGUUCUCUAGUAUUUUCUUUUCUUGCAUUCUGUCUCAUGCAUUUUUGUUAAAAAACAUCAUCUAGAUUUCUUCUUUUUUAUUUUUGUUCUGCAUUUCUCUGCAUCCAAUUCAUUGCAAAUCCUUGUGAGAUCAUUCUUGCCUAGUGAGCUAAGGUGAAUAGUAUUUUCUCUAUGAUGAACUCAGACAAACCGAUUUGCCUCUUUCGGUCAAACCGAAAUUUUUGGUGCCACCGAAGGAACCAACUCGGUUUACCCGACUUCAAUACUGAGAAAUCACUCUGUCACAUGCAUUCUGUACACUUUGUUCCAGCUCCACUUGAUGAUUCUUAUCCUCUACCAGCAUCAUAUUCCAUGUGCUUCUUUGCUCUGUGACUCAAGGACCAAACCUAUUUUGACUCACACUCCAGAAGGCCCUUCUUGGAAAUUGAUGUCAAAGGGGGAGAGAGAGUUCACAUCAAAGCUUAAUUACUCCAUCAAAGGGAGAGAGCAAUAGGGGGAGAGAAACAUUCUUAUCUAAAGAGAGACCCCAGUUGUUUGUUGUUUUGCAUUCAAAGAGGAGAGAAGUUACAUGUCUUUAGAGGGGAAAGACAUGUUUAUGCUGUUUUGUGUUUGCUUUGCUCUGAUUUUCUUUUCCUUAUUUUCUCCCAACAUCCAUUAUAAGAUUCAGGGGGAGUAAGACAUCUAAGGGAAGGAAAUCUUAAAAUUCAUUGCACAUUUUUACCUUUGGGGACAUGUCUACACUCAAAUAGAGUACCUAGUACUCACUCUAUACAUGUCAUCCCAAUCUUGGUACUCUUGUGGUUUACUGCUCUUGCUCUGCUUAGUAAAUGUUUCUGUGUUGUCUAACCUUGUUUACUCAGGUUCAUCUCUUCCAAAGCUAGUUAUAGACCACAAGGUAAGUAUAUUCAUCACACUCAUGUACAUGAGGAUCUCUUGCUGAUGUACAUAUUAUUUGCAAGAAGGACUGAUGAGCAUGAAGGUACAUUUCUGAUGUUGACACCAUUUGCUCUGAUGCAUAUAGCCAAGAUACAUGUAACUCAUUCCUUGCUCUUUCAUGAUUAUGCACUCACAUGAUCUUAUGUUCUAUAUUUACAUGAUUGCAUACAUGUAGGGGCAGCCUAUGCAUGUUACAUGUCUUUCCAAAGCUUUACUUGCCUUUCUCUAUAUCUUUAUCUAAAGCUUUGAUGUAUGUUGUCAUCAAUUACCAAAAAGGGGGAGAUUGAAAGAAUAAGUGCUCCCUAGGUGAUUUUGGUAAUUAAUGUCAAUAUAUCUCUUAUUGGACGAAUACUUUCAUCAAGUAUAUUUCAGAUAAUCCCAACAGUGGAGUGGCAUGGACAAGAGGAUGUGGAACCCCUUCAAGAUGCUAAGGACAAAGGAUUGGCUCAAGCUCAAAGCUCAGGACUCUACAUCUUCUAUUUUCAGUGAUACAAGAUCACAUUGAGUGUAUAGGAAAGCCAAUACUAUUAAAAGGGGAUGAGGUGUUGCCUAAUGGCUUGCUUGCUCAAAGUGCUUAGUGAUAUGCUCCAAAGCCCUCAACCAUUUUCUCAUAUCCACAUAUGUCCCAAACCAAAAGUCAAACACGGCCCCACCGAUUUGAUCCAUCAGGCGCCACCGAGUUCGUUUGACAUAGCCACUGCCAAAAACCCUAAUCAAUUUGGUCACACCGAUGGUAUCUGGUCUCACCGAGAUGGGCUUGCAAUCUCUCUGUUGUCUAUUACAACAUUUUGGUCCCAUCGAGUAGUGUAAUCGGCCACACCGAGUUUGUGUGACCAACUCUCUAUUUUACUUAUUACCAAAUCGGUCUCACUGAGUUGUGUAAUCGGUCAAAUUGAGAUGAGGUUUUACCCUAACCCUUGCACAUCGGUCCCACCGAGUUGAUCAUGUCGGUCCCACCGAAAUUGCCUAAUGGUCACAUAUGUACUAAAUCGGUCCGACCGAGUUUUUUGAUUCAGUCGCAUCGAGUUUGGUAUAAUGUGUGUAACAGUUAGAAUUUGUGUGGAGGCUAUAUAUACCCCUCCACCCUCUCCUCAUUCGUGAGGGAAGCCAUCAGAUCGUGCCUACACUUCCACUACCCAUUUUUUGAGAGAGAGCCACCUACUCAUGUGUUGAGACCAAGAUAUUCCAAUCCAACCAUAUGAAUCUUGAUCUCUAGCCUUCCCCAAGUUGCUUUCCACUCAAAUCAUCUUUCCACCAAAUCCAAUCCUAUGAGAGUGAGUUGAGUGUUGGGGAGACUAUCAUUUGAAGCACAAGAGCAAGGAGUUCAUCAUCAACACACCAUCUAUUACCUUUUGGAGAGUGGUGUCUGCUAGAUUGGUUAGGUGUCACUUGGGAGCCUCGGACAAGAUUGUGGGGUGAACCAAGGAGUUUGUAUGGGCAAGGAGAUCACCUACUUCAUGAAGAUCUACCCUAGUGAGGCAAGUCCUUCGUGGGCGAUGGCCAUGGUGGGAUAGACAAGGUUGCUUCUUCGUGGACCCUUCAUGGGUGGAGCCCUCUGUGGACUCGCGUAGCCGUUACCCUUCGUGGGUUGAAGUCUCCAUCAAUGUGGAUGUACGAUAGCACCACCUAUCAGAACCACGACAAAAACACCCGUGUCUCCAAUUGCGUUUGCACACUCCAAUCCCAUCCCUUUACUUUCUUGCAAGUUGCAUGCUUUACUUUCCGCUGCCCAUAUACUCUUUGCAUGCUUGCUUGAUUUGUAUUGUGAAUGGUUAAACUUCUGCUUAAACUCCACCUAAACUUGAAAAACUUAAAAACUGCCAACUUUGUGUGUUAAGGGUCUAUUCAGCCCCCUCUAGACACCUCUUCUCGAUCCUUUUAGUUUGAAAGUAUUGCUAAAGCACAUCUAGAUGUGCUCUAAGUAAUGCACAUCUCGGUCCUAUGCCAUUGAUGUUACGCGAAGAUUCAUGCAGAUAUUUUCCUUUGUCCUUUUCUUUUCCUUUCUAGUUUGGUUAUUACUGGCUUUAUCAAUAAUAAGAGCUUAAUGUAUUGCUUGCCAACUGUCCUACUCCGUUCAUACUGUUACCGGUGCAUAAUCCCAAAACCCGUUCCUUGUUUUUGUCCUGAAAAAGGAUACCAGCCAAAUAGCCAAUAGGAGUCCUGCGCAACCCCAGGAAUUUGGAGUGACUGGGUACAAAUAAUUGCGGUUAGAUAAUACGUCAACCCCCGCUUCAAUUGGCAGUUCCUCUUCUCUGCAUACCUCUAAGUGUCCACCAUCUUCAUCGUCCCCGGCAGGCCGCGCUACAUAGUGGCACACACUCUGUAGCCAUGUCGAGCGACAGGGAGGACGACAGUUCGGCCAGUAGUCUGGCGCCCGAUGAGAGGUUAACAUCGGAAUCAUCCCGCUCGUCUUCCAUGAGUCCGACGUCGAGCCCAGACCUCGAUUAUAUCCGGUUCAUGGAAGGGACGCCACCUCCGGAGUUGUCAGACAACAACUAGCCGGAUGAGGAGCUGUUGGAGGACGAAGAAGAGGACGACGAUGAGGAGGAGGAGGAUGACGACAGCAACGACGAUGACGACAGCGGUGGCGAUGAAAAGCCAACGGUCAGCGACAAAAAGCGUCCUCGCCAAGACGAUGUCGUGGGGCCAUCCAACAACAACAACAACAAGAAGGACUAAAUUAAGCAGACUGUAUAUAUCUUUAUUUAUCCUGUCAAUCUCAUCGCAGACGAUUAGUAGUAUGUAUUCGACAGAGAUCUUCUACAUUAUCGCCCAUAGGUUGGUUUGUUGAACUGUGUGCCCUGACAAACACACAAUUCACAAAAAAGACCAUAUGGGCUGUCUAUAAUGAUCGCACACAAUUCUGAUUACCGACUUGUUUGCCGGGUAUCACACACAUCUUGUUAUGCCGAAUCGUUUGUGUUCACCUCAAUCAUCGCAAACGGUUCAUCGGAGCAAACUAUAUGUCGUAUAUUGCACACACCUUGAUCUGGCUGCCCGUUUUCUGUUGUUCUGUCUCAUCGCAAACUGUUCGUGCAGACCAACCGUAUGCGCCUCAUCGCACAUGCAACUAAAAUCUGAACCGUGUGAUAUGCAUUCGUCAUCGCAAACCUUUUGCCCAUUUUUGACGGUUUUCUUGCACCAUCGUUUGCGAUUAUUGCAUUGCACACAGUUUCUUGAAGGGUAUCUCAUCGUAGUGUCGCGUUAGCAGCAUCCUGCAGUAGUGCAUGUUAAAGAUCUUUAUGCACAUGAUCCUAUGUUUGCGACUCAUUAUGCCAAAUGUCUUGCUAACACUGGUCGGGAGAACUAUUAUCUCAACAAUGGCUACCUUAUGCACACUAACAAGCUUUGUAUACCGAAGUCUUCGCUUCAUUUGCUACUUUCGCAAUAGGCCCACGACAGAGGACUUUUGGGAUAUUUCAGGCGCGACAAGACCUUUGCCACACUCUCCUUCAAGUACUUUUGUCCAAAGAUGUUCCGCAACGUGGCACGAUUCAUCAACAAAUGCUCUACAUGCCGCAAAGCUAAGUCACAAUCUCAAUCUCAUGGUUUAGAUAUGCCACUACCAAUUCUGUAUCAACCAUGGGAAGAUAUUAGUAUGGAUUUGGUGCUUGGUUUGCCUAGGACUCAAAAAAUGGAAAGGAUUCCAUAUUUGUUGUUGUGGACCGAUUCUCAAAAAUGGCACAUUUCAUCCCAUGUAAUAAGAUAGACGAUGCUUCACAUGUUGCAAAUCUCUUUUGUCGGGAUCUUGAGGUUGCAUGGAGUGUCAAGGACCAUUGUGUCGGACCGCGACGUCAAGUUCCUAAGCUACUUUUGGAAGACAAUAUGCGCCAAGCUCGGCAUCAAGCUACUAUUCUCGACGGCCUAUCAUCCCCAAACCGAUGGCUAAAGGGAAGUCACCAACCGGACGCUAUCUACUCUCUUACGCGUGUUGAUAAAGAAGAACAUCAAGGAGUGAGGGGGGAUGUUUACCCAUCGCCGAGUACGCCUACAAUCGAGCUCGGCACUCUACUACCGGCAAGUCCCCCUUCGAGGUUGUCUACGUCUUGAACCCAUUGUCCCCAUUGGACAUUCUACCUCUUCCGCUCCAAGAACACGCAAACAUGGAUGCAAGUGCAAGGGCAAGCUUUCUCAAGAAGAUACAUGAAGAUACAAGGGCAACGAUCGAGCGUCAAGUACAUCACAUUGUCACCAAGCUCAACAUCAACAAGACACCAAUGGUGUUCCAACCAAGAGAUCUUGUAUGGCUUCAUCUUCGCAAGGACCGCUUCCGCAACGAGCGCAAGUCCAAGCUACUACCACCAGCCGAUGGACUCUUCAAGGUGCUAGCACGCUACAACGACAACGCCUACAAGAUCGACAUCCCACGCUACAAGUACAACGUAAGAGACAAGUGAAUUCCUCUUUGUGUUCUUGGUGUUCAUCCCUCUUUCCCCUCCAAGUGUGAAAAGAUCCAUCUUAGGGUUUCACCCUACAACAGAACGUUUCCUCCUAGUGACGCACGUUGCUGGAAGGCCUGAAAUAAAUCUGGAAAAAUGCGAACACCAAUGUAAGUCUAAAACUUGAACUCUGUUGGGUUAGAGAUAUCACUGUCCUCCUAACCAUCCAAUUACAUGUUGGUUUGGCAUAAAUCUUUUUUUUAUCUAUAUGAAAUGACAGUGCCGUCGUCUAACAAAAGAUGCUAGCUCAAGUGAAGUGCAUGAACAUGCUCUCAAAAUUAAUGGCCCAUUUAUAUAUUUAUAUCAAUGUCCCUUUACCUUUAUUUCUACUAGUCUUAAAUUAUCACAAAUAAUAAGUACCACAUGUGUGGCACAAUGCGCUCCAGCCUGACGUUUUUUACAACUAAAGUUGUCAUUUAAAAGAAAACUUACCAUUCGAAAAGAAAGUUGUCAUGCUUGACCAUUAAAGUUAUCAUACUCGCAUCAAUAAAUUUGCCGUGAAAAUAUUCAGAGUUGCUAUGUGUUUGACCAUUAAAGUUGGUCAUACUUGCAUCACUAAACGAAGAAAGUGUCAACAAAUAAUUUUGUGAACAUUCAUGGAGGGUCAAUAUCAUGAGUUGGCGAGGAAGAAACAAUAACAGAAGCUAAAAUAUAAACCGACACCCUGGGUUUAGAUUACUAGAUACACACACAAACACACAUUGUUGCCUCGAUUGUUUCCUCUCCAACGAUCAACCCACGUACGCAUGCACACAAGAUGAGCAUCUUCACUUCUGCUCUGCUCUAGUUAGACUCGAGCUGCGCGUACCACACACCCU